AUGUAAUGAGAGUUCAGGGCAUUUCACUUCCACAUUUUUCCUCAGUAUAAGCUGAUUUUUCAUUCCAUCAUCGUUGUAGUUCAACGUUUUCCCUUUUCUUUUCUUUUUUCUUUUGCUAUUUAACGGUUAGGGUACAUUCUUAUUGUCCUAAACUUGAAAAGUUGUUGAUGUCAUUUGACUGUUUCUUUUUCAAAAUACCGUUCCAACAAAGAUACUUUCCAAUCUAAUGAUCUCUCGAAAAUUACUUUUUAUCUAUCCUCUUUCAGUUCAGAUCAGCAAUCUUCCCAUCACAUUGCACUAUGUCUCUAUUCUCAACAGUCCUUACCAUGCUACCAACCACUAGCAACUCGCCCACUCCACUCCUACCAGAUCUAAUACCCAUGUUUUUACAGAUUCUUGGAUGUUUACUAUGGAAAGUACAAACAAAAGAUCCAGCAGCUGAUUACUGUUUCAGCAUUGCAGAAGGCAAGUAAUGUGAAUUAUUGAAUUAGGAGAAAAUAAUAUUAAUGAAAACAACCAUAUCGAUCGGUUAACUGAUGGACUGUUGGUAUAGUCUUGGUGACGUGGCAAGUAUCAGGAAACAUGUUACACUCUCUCCAUUACACAUGGGUUCUGGAGAACUUUGAAAAUGAAAGGUGAAAGGAAGGAUUUGCCAUAUGGCAAGGACUGAUGCAAUUGUGCAAUUGCCUAAAAUAAAGGUAAAGAGAAAAUAUUUUACCAGGGAAUUAUUCUUUUGGUUGAUAGAUCAGGAAUGAGUCUGAUUUCACCCACUCCAGUUAGAUUAGUUUCAUCAGCAGGACCAUCCGUGUGCGAAGACAUACCCAUCGAAGCGCAGGUUAGUCCAACACCACUCUUCGAAACGAGAUCAUGGAAACGUUUUUGAGGAACCACCUAAUACAUAACAAAGUGAUUGAUGAUAUUGGUAAACUGAUUUUCCAAAUUGGUAAUCAUUAUUUUGCAACAUGUACAAUUUUCCCAUGUCAGAAGAUGUAUUUGAGACUAAAUCGAGCAUUACAAUAAAAUAAUGAAGAACUUUAUGGCAAUCAAGCUUCCAGUCCAAAGUGAAAAGGUUAGAACGAAUAGCUUACUCGACAUCUAUGCUGUCCAGAAGCAUCAAUCCAAAUAAUGCGAACAAAUGCAACACCCUUAACAGGAGCAGUUAAGUCCAACUUCAUAGAGUAGGGGAGUGCAAUGUCAUUAGAAUCAAAAGAUUCUGAAACAGUCUUAAUAUUGUAUAACUGUGUUGCAUUUUCAGAAAAUAUGUCUUUAGCAGCUUGAAGAGCUUCCGGAAUUGAAAUAUCUCCAUCAGUGCAAGCAUCACGCAGAACAGAGAACACAACCUCACGUGCUUUUUUAGCACCUGAUAAGGCAUUCAUCAAGUUCAGCAACCUGGUUGUAAGAUAAAAUGGCACCAAGUAGCAAUAAUAAAGGGAGUAUGGGGAUGUUAAAGGUUUAUGCAUGCGUAACUAUUACUUGCCUGAGUUGAUUUGAUUGGUAUAUUUUGGUAGAAUCAAAGACAUAUUUAGAGUUUCAUUGGAGUAAUAGGAUUCUUGUAGGAGCACUACUACCAUUUUAAUUAUGAUGGUUCAGUGAAAAACUGAAAUGUCUUAACGAACUUCUAGGACUCAUGUCUGGAAGAUGGGAAUGUAAGAUCCUUGUGUUUGACACCACAUUUGGAGUCACUGGCUACAAGCCUGUCCAUAGAAAGAGAUAUUGCAAGAGCAACCUAAUCUUCCAUCAUUUGUGAACUAGAGGCUGUACUCUAUCUUUUGUAAACAAACAAUCUUACGACUCAACAAUUAAAUAUUAAUCCUCACAAAUAAUUUUAAUUUGCUGAAGAUAGCGCCCUUGAAUACAUUUCAUAGUUCAAGAUCCCUCCGAGCUAGAUCCAAAGAACUGACAGAAUGUAAAUGGAGUUUAAUCUUUAAAUUCAUUUUGCCAAAUUGAUUCCAUAACUGAAGUUAUCAUACUAAAAUAUGCUCAUAAACAUUCUCAAGAGGUCAUUUCAGCGUGACUAGAUAGAUAUCAUUCAAAUAACUUUAGCCCCACUUGCAUCUUUAUUUCAACCCUUUUGCAUUAGCCACAAUUAUCAAGAAUCAAACCAGUGUGCACUCCUCCUUGGUUCACAUAAAGAUGAUAUGUUACGCAUUAACCAAGCAUAAAGUGCAUAAACAAUUUUUCACGCAAAACCGAUCUAGACGUCAUUGAACUGAUGUUUAUCAAGUAUGUACUUGAGUUAGCAAGAAAACUAGCAUUAAAUUAAAGUGAUAAAGAGUAUGAGAUGGGUCAAACCAACCUAGAUAGAAGGUCUCUGGAAAACCACAGCCAUCAGUGCUGAACAUUACCUGCCAAUUGCCAUUCAUGGUUUGGUAUUAGGAAAAGACUUUUAACAAGUGAAUUUUUAUACCAAGGUGACUAUUAAAAUGGGACCUUCAUUUUUUUCUUAAAGCAGAAACGUUAAAAUAUUUAAUUCAAUUCUAGAGGUCAGAUUUCAUAUUGCAAAGAAUAAUUCUUAAAACAAAUCCUAGAAUCUACGAUGUUCACCUUCUUUAUUGGUGCUAAAUCCAAGAGCUCUUUGACUGAGGAAACCAUCCCAUGAAAGCUAAGUUUUGGAACUGCCAGCCCAAAGUCCAGAUACACCUGCAGUUGAAGGUGACAAUUUCAAGACAAAACAGUGGUUAAAAUGACAAGACCUCGUGUCAGACUCCAGAGUAUACACAUAACAACUUCCAGAGCUUACCUGAGAGUACACAGAGGCCAGAUAUGAUGCUUCUUUGGAGAAAGGAUAUGAUGCAUGUAAAAGAACAAUUUUACACUUGCUGAAUCUACUAUCCUCGAGAAUAUUGCGAAGAUGAAGGGGAUUGGAUAGCCUUAAAUCUAGAUCUUUAUCUCCGAAACUACAGGGAGCAGAAAAAACAAUUUGUAACUUGUUUUCAACUACUAAACAGUAUUAUGGAAAAAUAUUAAUAACAUGACAAAUUGGGAGAUUAUCAGAAAGUCAAAGAUUUAGUAUCAAUUGAAAUCUUGAACUAGUACCAGGAGAGUUCCAAACCGACUUGCAUUGAAGUGAAACAAUUAUCUAGUGUAAGAGUUGAAACCACUAAACUUCGAUUUAAUUUGAAACGACUAUUACCCUGUGUGAAUCUGCAUUGGCAAGCCAAAACAUUGGGCAACCUCCAAUGCAUAGAUGAAGAUGUGAUCAAUGAAGUUUUUAUUUGUGAUGCGGAAAGGCUUUCCAGCUGGAAAUAUGGACUAUCAGGAUAUCAUGCACUGUCAGGCACUAUCAUAAAUCUCUCUAUAUAAAAAAAUACCUCGUAAAACGUCAUUAAGGCCCUCUUCGGCAUCCUUCUUUGAAACGUUUGUGUCAAUUUCAAGUCCACUACGGUAUGCAGCUAUACUUUUAAACCCAACGAUUCUAUCAGCAUGUGUAAUGACUGAUAAGGAAAUCAACAGGAACGUGGCAAUUCUUUCCACAAGCCCAAAUGCAUUUAAGCAUAUACUGAGAAAACAAAAGGAUAUGAUUUCAGGUUAUCUGUGAAUUGUUCUGUAAAAGAGUCCAAUGUCCAUGUAAUUCCACCUGGUCUUUCCUAAUCAAGAUUUCAAAGAAAAACAAAAAAUAAAAUAUAAGAACAAAGUCAAAGGUAAAGAAACAGUAAGAAUAAAGCUAAUGGAACCGCAUACAAUGGAUAAACAAGUUUAUCAAAUAAACAACUAGUAUCUCAGUUUAGGUGAUGCCAGAAAACUAUUCAAACUCAAAAGGAAAGGAUUAAUAUGAACAAAAUAACGUAUGAGGACAUUCUGAUAGAAACAAAUUUUCCCAUACACAUUGUUUACUGAAUCAAGAGUUGUAAUAAAAAAAAAUAUAAACGUUAGUAAUUCAGAUGACACUAGUCUAUCUUUUAGCUUCUUACCCACAAAGAUUUACCCUAAUUGACCUAAGAAACAUAGGAUAGCGAAAAUACAGAUUAGUGCAAUAUGAACCAAACAAGUACAUAACUUCUCACCAUAUUAAGGAUCUUCUCAGCCACGUGUUCAAUUCUUAAUAUUCUACCAACGUAUGGUACAAAUUCCUUGUGCCACUCAAUUUCGUGCAUUUUGUCUAGCUCAAGUCCAUCAUCAAUGAAUAUGGCUGAGAUUUUAGCAGCUUUGAGGCACUUAGCAGUUACUGAUUCCACUCCAGAGAUGGACCGGUAUUCUUGAACAGCAUCCAAUGAUACGUCGGAACCAUACAGUUUUGCAAUUUCUUUCAAGCUUCUCUAAAAAUAUAAACAAGUGAACUCUUUAGAAAUUUCUCAACAAAAUCAGUUGUACAAAAAGUAUAUUAGGAAAACUACAAUUAACAGUUACAAAUCAUUGUGUUUUACUUCUAGCGCAUUAAUAAGUUCCUUGUCUACCAAUUAUAUUGGCUGGAAGAGUACAAUCAUCCUGCUCUUUGGUUGCAUUUCCACCAAAUUUAUCCAUCAUUAAUUUGAACCUGGAUUCGUUAAUUGUGAAAUUGUAUUAACAACUAUUUGAUUAAUAUUCAUUCCUUUAACUCUGACCAUUAAUAAUCAUCCAUUUAAGCCAUACCAUGUACAAGUUAACUGUGAAAUUGAAAAAUCAAAAGAUAUGGCUCCUAGCUGUAAACCUUUCUUUGAUUCAUUGCCAUGUACAACGGUUCUUUUUGUGUAUACUUGGAGGACAGGAUGAAUGUGACAAAAUAAUAAAGAAAUCAUUCAAAACUGAAUAUUAUUUCGCCAAAUGAAAUAGCAUUUCAUUCAUAUCUGAAAACCAAAGCAUGGCUGCUUCUACACUUGAAUCCAAGUCCAUGUGAACAGAAAUAUCAUGUAUGCAAGCCAUGGUUAUGAACACAUAAAAUUAAUAUCAUAUAAUCCUCCACUUUUGCACACGUUUCAACAUGAUCUCAAUUCUCAGCAGAUCCAUAACCUCCAAUUGUUUCCCUAACCUCUUUCUUUUAGGGUAGGCAUCAAUACAUAUAAAGUUUGUCUAAGUUAAAAGAUAAUAAAUCAUACGAAUAGGAAUAAACCGGACCACCGGUUCGUACAUGGUGCAAAAAAAUUUGUGAAGUGAACGAAAGAGUUGAAGUCAUAUCUGAAACAGAGGGAUCGCAAGUUCGAUGAACAAAUACAGUACUGCUUAUAAGUUCACAAGUACUUUUACCUUGAAAUUGAUGGUGUGUGGUACAUCGGAUAAGGCAUCGCCGGUGGCCUCGGAAAAGCAGUUCAGGAAAGGGAACGUGGAGUCGACCGCCACAAUGUUGUGCGCGUGGGCGUCCACUAGCGCCGCCGUUUCCACCGCCGCCUUCAACGACGCAAAUCUAUCCAUGCUCUCUCUCUCUCUCUCUGACCUCUCUCCUUGAAGUUCUUCAAUUCUCUUCUAUCAGCAAGGGUUUGAAUGAGCUGGAUGAGGGUUUAUGCGGCGUGAACGUGCAAUUAUCUAUAUGGCAAGCAUGAUCUUUGAGUUUGAAGAUCUCUUCGGUCAAUGCUCAUUUAUUAGCAUGUUCAUUAAUCACGAAUUUAAGUGAGUAUUAUUAGGCAAUAUCUUGAGUUUGAAGAUCUCUAAGGUUAAUGGUCAUUUAUUAGCAUGAUCGAUGAUUUUCUAAUGCAUUAAUUACGAAUUUAAGUGCGUAUUAGGCAAUAUGACAAAUUACGACCACACCCCUAAGGUAAGGUCAACUUACGAAAAAACCCCUCAGAUUUGCAUAAUUACAAGCACCCCCUCAACUAUGUAUUAUAUUACAAAAAAACCCUCGUGUUUGCAUAAUUACAAGCAUCCCCUCAACUAUGUAUUAUUUUAUGAAAAACCCUUAAUGUUGAUAAAUUUAGGGACGUUUAUUCGGUAAAACUGUACAAAAACUACGAGGUACGCCAAAAUUUCAUACAGUUUAGCGUUUGGUUCUAUAAAUAACCGAAUUACCAAAAUUUUAUUAAAAAUAUUUAAAAUUUUGACUUUAUUAAUUUUAGUUAUAUAUAUAUAUAUAUAUAUAUAUAUAUAUAUAUAUAUAUAUAUAUACAUAAAAGACUGAAUACCACACUGAAUUAACGGUUCGGUAAUCGGCAUGUAAGAAUUAUCGUUUAGUUCGAUCCGAUAGGUUUACUAGCCGGAUAAACACCACUAGGUAAAUUUGACAUCGCAAGGGUGAACGCGUAUGACAAUAUAUAUGAACUUAAUAUCUUCAUUUUUGGCGAAAGUGUAAGUGGCCUCGGCUGUUGUGGUGAGGCGAACGGUCUACCUUGGUCUUCCACGACCUUCUAUGAUCAUUCCCUACCCGUCCCUUUUAUUAUUUGGGCCACCUGUGUUUGCCCGUAUUCUUAACGUUUUGUUAGUUAGCUAUUGUCUUUUGUUUGUCAACUGCUAUUAUUAGCCAUAUGUUGGGCAGUAGCAAUUUGAGCAAAACUCAUUAUGUACUUCUUAAAUAUUGUUUUAUAAACAGGUAGGGGGUCAAGCCUAACCCCCCACCCUCAUCGGGUGUCGUUCUCUUAAAAAAAAAAAAAAAAAAACUUAAUAUCUUCAUUUUUUGCAUAUAAUAUUUUUCUUAAUUUUUUUCACUUAGAACAUGAUUUUUUUCUUUUAGUAUUUUUGCAUUAUUAUAUAAAUAUGUUUUUUCUUAACUUUUUUUUUAUAUAAUAUUGAAAAUGUGAAGAAGAAAAACAUAUAUUUUCUUUUUAAUCCAUAGACACUCGUAGGAACACAUAGUCGUGAAUUUGAACUUACACAAUUGAAAACUCUAACUCCCUAUUUGAACCCUAGCCCGAAAUCAGCCAUGAACAUUCACAAUAAAUCAUAGUCCACCAUAGUCAUCCACAUCCAAAACUAAAAUCUUAGGUCACACUCAUCCACUGCGGAACUUUGAUAGGGCAUGGGGGGCCGUUGACCCCCCAAGAAAAAAAAAAAAAUCUUUUAUAUAUUUGGCACUGAAUUUUUUGAAUAUUACUUUUGGCCCCCCAAAGUUUUUGUAAAUAUUUAUCUUGACCCAUUAAUUUUUUUGUUUUUUCUCCAAAAUAUUAUAUAAAUUAUAGAUGAAUAUAUCAUAUUUAAUAUAAAAUAUAGAAUAAGAUGGUUAAAACUUGUAUUAUUUUAAAUAAAAUUUAUGAAUAUUACUUAUUUUUGAAUUUUUUUUAUCUAACGCCUUCAAAAAAAAAAUGAGAUCGUGCCAUGAAUCUCCGAAAUAUUAAGUGCAGCAUAUUAUUAGAAUAAUUUGAAUUAAUUUAGAAUUUUUUGUGAUGAUUAAAAUAUGAUAUAUAUAUAUAUAUAUAUAUAUAUAUAUAUAUAUAUAUAUAUAUAUAUUAAUUAAAAAUUAGUUAUAUAAACUUAUUUUUUGCAAUGGUUUGUGCACCUAAAUUUUUUUUCGGGGCGCUGCCCCGAACCACAAAAUUUUAGUUAGCCCCCUUACAUUUUGACCCUGGUUUCACCCCUGCACUCAUCCACACCGACCCGGAAAAAAAAAAAAAAAAAAAGAAGAAAGAAAAAAUAUAAGCAUUACCCCGUCACCUUUUAAGUUACUUAGAUAAUUUUGUUUUAUAUUAAGUGACUUGAGAGUUUCAAUUGUAGACAAAUUUUUUUUCCUCCAAACAUUAAUGAUAAUUUUAUUAAAAAUAUUUUAAAAAUAUUGUACUUACAUAUAUAAAAUACUCAUGAUGUAUUGUAUUGUCACUAUUUCAUAAACUUUUAUAUUGAGGUUAUGUAUGUCUUUUUCAUAUUAUCAUCGAUUAUUUUUUUUAAAUUUAAAUGAUUAGAAGGGGGUAAGUGUAACAUUUCAUAGUUGAAGUGGGUAAGUGUCACACACCCCAUAAUUCAAGGGGGACAAGUAUAUUUAACCCAAUAAGUAAUAAUGAGAAGUUGAAAAACACAAAUAGGUAAUUUUAUUAAAUAAAAGUUUUUUCUUCAAAAAUCAAAAUUAUUAAAUAAUUUUGUUUAAUUAUUGUGCACUGGCAUAAAUAAAUAAAUAGAUAUGAUGUAAAAAAGGAAAGACACACACAGACACAACACAGUUGAUACUUGAUAUAUUACGCUAAUUAAAUUAGCUGUCACUACGUUGUCUAUUUCCUUUCCUUUUUAUUUUUAUGUGUUAUUUUUCUCCCCUUUCCGAUCUCCGUCUUCUCCGAACGGUUCCCGUUGAUGGCUUCUUCCAGUUCCGGCAAUUCCAUACCGGCCCCAGGUAUCAUCCACCACCACACCACCACCACCACCACAUUAUUAAGCUCAAUUCGAUUAACGUUAAUCGGUCUAAUUUUGUAUUGUCUUGUGGGUAUCUCGAUUUUUUUCAGAGGCAGUUCAAGUUCUCGUCUCUUCGUUGGCAGAUGAUUCUCCCAUGGUCAGAGAAGCCUCGACUGCUACUCUUAAAGACAUAGCUCAUCUGUAAGUGUACAAUUCUUGCCCGUUUUGUUUUAUUGGCUGUAAUUUUCCGCACAUGGAUAGAUGUAUGAGAAAUCGAAUUUGUACUCUAAAUUGGGUGAAUUCUGCUUGGGAACCGUGAAUUUUUGUUUUAUUUGAUUUCCACGUCCACAUUGAAUGAAUUGUUGAAACAUUCCCAUGGUUCUGGAAUUAUAUAGAUUUUAUUGUACAUUGAUCGGAUUAUUGUGUUUCUAGGAACCCACUUCUGGUUCUCGAUUGUUGUUCAACUGUGUCGCGUGGUGGCCGAAGGGUAUGUUGUGCUUCUUGUUAUUGCUUAAAAUACUAACAUAUCAGAAUAAGAAUAAGGUAAUAAGAGAAUUCGUAUUACAUGUGGGAAUUUCAGAGAUACGGGAACAUAGCUGGAUUAUUUCAAGUUAUGUCUGUGGCAAUUCGAGCAUUGGAUAAAGAUGAUGUUGAUCCCCAUUAUAUGGCAAAGCUUGCCAAAAUAGCUGCUUCUGAGAUCAUCUCAACCAAGGUACCAUCUGAUUUGUAACACUGGAAUGUGAUUGUGGUAAAUAGUAUAUACUAUUCUAUAUAUGGUUUAUAUACAUGAUUACUAGUUCAAGUAUAUUAACCAAGAAACUAAAGGGAAAGAGUUACACUCAUGAAUGCAUGUUGGAGAAUAUAUCAUUGCAACCUUGUCAAGAAAAGCAUGUCGGAAAAUAUAUAAUUGCAGGUUGCAACAUUGUCAAUCUUAAACUUUCAUCUGCGACUGCACCUUCAAUUUUAUAUUGCCGUUUUUACUCGAUGAAUUCGAGACUUUAUAUUUUUACUUAUAUUUUUGUUAUUCCCACAAAACGUGGUAGAAUGAACUCACAUUAACUAUAAAUUAAAAUAGGUUGAUUUUAUUGAUAGUCUCAUGGAGAUGCUGUUUGGUGUGAUGCCUCGUUAGUUUCUUUGCUAGGUUGAAUUGCUUAUUUGUCUGAACAUUUAUCUUGAAUUUUUACUGUUCAUUAAUAUUUCUCAGUUAUUACCGCCUUUAUGGUGAUACGAAUUUAGUGAGUGUAGUCUGCUAGUUAAUUAUAUACUAUAUACAAAUAUGGGUAUUCUGAUUGUUGUUUUCAUUGUUAGUAUUGGAGAUAUUAAUAUUAAAUGAUACAUUUCACUAAUAGCUUAAGCUUUUGGUUGAGGUGGUCAUUCAACAUAGUAUCAGAGCUAGGCCAAAUGAAAGGUCCUGAGUUCGAAUUGGUUCUAUUUGACGUUUUUUUGUCCCGCCUCGUCCCUUUUCAUUAUCCUCUGUUCUAAUUUCAUUAUUUUUUAACUAAAGGUAUUUCAUUAUAUAUAGUUAUUUUCUCAUUGUUUUUAUCGUUUAGACACUAUUUCAUAAUGUGUUAAACUUUCCUUCCCGUAGGAACUCAACGCUGAUUGGCAAAGGGCUGCAUCUUCUGUCCUUGUGGCAUUAGGUUUACAUCUGCCCGACCUUGUAAGUUCCUUCAUUGAAUUCUUUACACAAUCUUGAUUUGAUUGAUUGACGAAUAAAAUGCUCUAUAAGCAACAGUAAUCUCGAAUUUUGGAAGUCUAGAUUCAAAGCUGCAUCAUCUAAACUAGUACUCAUUAGACAUAAUAUAUAUUAAGCUUAUUAUAGCUUUGACACGAAUUCUUUGAUCUGAUGAUAGUAUCUUUACCGGCAUGAAUGAUCUUCAUAAUGUAACAUGUUGACUGUUGUGGUAUGAUAACUUAUACCAUAUCUGUUGGGGCUGGGACUGGGUUGGUUUUUAUCCACCAACCGAUCCAUUACCGACCAUAUUUUUAGGCGGAUAAUCAAUUUUUAACCCACCCAUUGGAUCGGGUCGAAAAUUUCAACCAACCCAUCUAUAAUGGGUUUGUUGGUGGUUUCUAUAUUAUCAAAAGUUGGUUGACCGAUAAUUAUCCAACUAUAUUAUUAAAUAUUUUAUUAAAAAUAUAAAUUAAAGGCCGUGUUUUCUUAAGCAGUUAUUGAAAUUAUCAAAAUAAUUAGUAUUUUAAAUUUUAAGAACAAUUAACAAAGGGAAAAAAAAAUUGACAUAAAUCUUCCACCAGUUUCUUUAUGCCCAAGCUUAAACAAAAAGCCCACAAAACUCCACUAAAUUUCUUGUGCCUGUUUGAAAUUACUUUGAAUUUCCUAAUUAUAUUUUUUCGUUAAAUUGUUAUUAAUUAUUUUGAACUGACAAAUGAUGAUUGCACCGUGGCAUUGCACAAAAUGUGGAUAUUUUUAAUCCAAAAUUUGAAUUUUUUUAAGUGAACUUGGGGGCGGAUAUAAACCAUCAACCGACCCAUUCCGGAACCAAAUGCUCGGCUGUCAACCAUCAACCGAUCCACAAAGGUUGGGUCGGCAACGGUUUUCAAAUUUGAGCAAAAAUGGUUUGACGGAUGGGUCGGUUUUUAGGCUGGUAAUCGACCCAACCCAGUCCCAGCCCUAAUAUCUGUUAUGUUUUCUUGAGCUCCACUUAUAUGCAAAAAAUUGAUAGCAGUUACUAUGCAGGAUUCACCAGUAACCUUGACUUAGUUGAUGAAACAAAUAUUCACUAGAGUUAUGUAUGGUGCAGAGACUCAAGCAUGCAUUUAAAUUUUAUUUUUUAACUCUUUUAGAUGAUGGAUGAAAUACUACUUCAUCUCUCUGGAUCAAAUUCAGCACUUCCAGCUAUGGUUCAAAUACUUGCAGAUUUUGCUUCAUCUGAUGGUAGGUUAUAAUCUUUAGUUCUGACUCUUGACUUUGACUUAAACAGUCUAGUUUUCGAUUUCUGAUUUUUGUUUCCUGGUUGAUCGAUGUUUUUUUUUGUGGUAUACAAAGCUGUUCAGUUCACUGCACGGCUCAAAAGUGUACUUACAAGAGUUCUGCCGAUUCUUGGGAAUGUAAAGGACAUCCACCGACCAAUCUUUGCCAAUGGUAUCUUAUUUCUGGUUAUAUUUAUGCUCUUGUUAUGUACCUUAUAGUGUUCGAGUUAUUGUUCGAAAUGAUGCAUUAUUCUAAUGACAUUGAUUACGUAUAGGCUGCUAAUUUUACUGAAACAUGGAUCAUUUUCUAUAUGAGGAGAGCCAAAUUAAUAUAGCCAAGAUAAUUAGGGUUAGAUCAUCUAUUAAGACAACGGUAAUAACUAAAAAGAGAAUUAGUUGGAAGGGUAAUUUAGUCCUAUUAGUCAUCUUCUCCUAACAUCAAUCCAUAGUUAUUAAUUAUCUUUCUUAAUACGGUGCCCAAACCGUAAACUAGAAUUAUUUUGAAGGAGGGAGUAUCUGUUUUGUAAAAUUAUACGGCGUCUUUGGUAGUGUAGAUAAUAAAUAAUUUAUGCAAGGACCUAACUCUGAUUGUUCUAUAUGCAUUAUUUUAUAUUAAGUCCAUUUUUUUUUUGCAUUCCACUAUACAUUGAAUACAAUUAUUGUUUGGCAGUUGGUAGUAAUGCCGUUGGUCUCAUUAUCUUUGGCUGUUGGUAGUAAUGUGAUAAAGCAUUCUAUGCAGAUCAUUACUAUUAUACUUAGAUUGAGGAUUUUUUUUUCUUUCCCUUUUCCAGCAUUCAAGUCCUGGUGUCAGGCCUGUUGGCAAUAUAGUGUUGAUUUCCCACUGUACACUGCUCUUGACGGUGAUGUCAUGUAAGACUAGUUUAUUUGCUUCUUCUUGCAUGAUUCUAAUUUUCUGCAGAUGAUUAUUUUGGAUAUUGAUGAGCCAUUUGGGGCAGGUCUUUCCUGAAUUCCGCAUUUGAGCUUCUGUUGAGAGUUUGGGCAACUUCACGGGAUCUCAAGGUUUGUAUUUGUAGAGUCAUGUUUGCUCUGUAUUCAUUUUUCCUUCUUCUGGUCUAUGUAUUAAAGGUUUCUAUAUUUUGCUUGCUGCACAAUGAACGAAAGGAGAUUCUCAGUGUCUGGUUUUUAUUAUCAUUUUUAUGAUAUAACUCGCGGAUAACUUACUUCUGUAUGCUUUUGAGUUUGUCACAUUCUGCACAUACUUUUGGGAAUUUCCUUAUCAGAAGAUUGAUAAACCGAAUUCAUGUAUUGGAUAAUUGUUGAUUUUAAUAUCUUUUGAGUCUAAAAGUGGUAUAGAUUAUUAGUUGGCACUUGGCAGUCUUUUAAACAUCUUCGACGAAAGAUCUGCAACCGUCUAAAGGAUGAUGAAAAUAAAUCUUUUGCCAUUAUUAGCUCGUCUUGGCCUCUCUAGAUUAAGUCCCUUUUACCUCAUUAAUGUAUUGGGAUCACUAUAUCCUGACGUAGUUGACAAUUUCCUGCAACUUAUACUGUCACAAAUUGGCAUAUGACUUAUGGCCUUGUGGUUUCAAGGGUUGACUUGGUCUAAUAUCAACAAGAUUUGCACAUUAUUACUAGGUAUCAUCUUCAGUGUUACCUGAAAUAUAAGGACACAAUGUAUGCUAGACGGAAAAGUUAGCUCUUUCACGCCUAAAUUGCUAAAGGACACAUGAUCUGGAUGGUCUUGGAAAAAUAGAAGUUCUCUUCCUUCUCUGUAUUUGUAUGUGUAUAAGCUGUUUAUAGUUAACCUUAUUUGGAAUAUCAGUUUUUUUCAAGGAUGUAGUUUCUUUUGUUUCUUUAGGUCCGCGUAUCUACUGUUGAGGCUUUAGGCCAGAUGGUUGGUCUUGUAACUCGGACGCAACUGAAGUCAGCUUUACCAAGACUUGUGCCCACUAUUCUGGAAUUGUAAGCCGUUAGCUUGAUUUGUUACUAUUUGUAUCUUUACAGUUCACUAGUAAUAUGUGAUUAUCCUGAAGUUUACCCUACCCCUCUGUUCAUAGUUAAAACCAUUUUGUCAUGCCGAGGCUGGCCUUUUACUUAUUUGAGGUAGAAUAUUUUUUUUUAAUCAAGUAGGCUUUGAUUAGGCGUUGGUUUUUGCCUUUUCUUUUACACAAUGCAGGUAUAAGAAAGAUCAUGAUGCUGCCUUUGUGGCUUCAUGUAGCCUCCAUAAUCUAUUGAAUGCUUCCUUACUUUCAGAAAGUGGUCCGCCUUUGAUGGACUUUGAGGUCAGUGAAUAUCAUUCGAAUCUAUUGGAGUGCGUUUGGAUUGAGGGAUUUGGAGGGGGGUUUGAUUUGGGGAAGGGAUUUGAAAUGACUCCAAUUUGGAGUCAUUUUAAAUCCACCCCAAUUGCUCCAAAAGCAACUAAAAAGGAGGUGUGUGGAUUUGAAAUUCAUCCCCAAAUCCCUCAAUCCAAACAAGUCCGAGGGAUUUGUUAUUAUGGAUUUGAAAUCCCUCCUCCAAAUCCCUCUAUCCAAAUGGACCCUUGGUGUUGAAGCGUGCUUUUGUUUAUAUUCUAGAUGUCAAAUAUUACAUCUUAGAAGAUUGUGAUUAUUUUCUUUCCUCUUCGGGCUUUCUACGAGUGUUGAGUUGUGGUUAUAUUAUAUAUAUAUAUAUAUAUAUAUAUAUAUAUAUAUAUAUGAAGCAAAUGGAUUUCAGGUUUUUCUCUGGACUCAUGCUUGCACAAAUAUGAAAUGAUGCGAAUUAGCAAAUGUUUGGGAGGGCCGAGGGGAGCGGGGUUCGAAUGAAAUAAUUCACUUGACUAAUGGUAGAAAUGCAAUUCACGCAUCUUUAAAGCAUCAUAUAAAACUCCUUAAAAUUUUGAUUUGAGUGAAAUAAAAAUGGAAUUUACAGAUUUUACUUUUCGAUUAACUCAACUUCAUUGUCAUGUUCUUAAAAGGAAAAUUCUGUUAUUACAUGAUGGAGUUUCUGCAUAGGCAAUUGCAAUGUAUGAGUUGAAUGUUCAUGCAUGCAAAACACGUAGAGGUGUAGGUUUGAUUAUCAGUAGGAUUCAAUGUUGUGAUUGUUGUUCAAUUUUGUCCUCUAUCCUCCAAGAUGUCAUUCGUUAUAUUAGUCAUUAAUUUGCAGGACCUCACUGUCAUAUUAUCAACGCUUCUUCCCGUGGUUUGCAUUCAUAAUGACAGCAAGCAACAUUCAGAUUUUUCAGUGGGACUAAAGGUAGCACUUUUUUGUGCUGUCCAUGCUUUCUGAAGUCAUAUUUGGCAUGUGAUUAUAAUCAAAUUUUUUCUUGUUUUCUCAAUUGCAGACCUACAACGAAGUUCAACAUUGCUUUCUCACAGUUGGCCAGGUGUACCCAGAAGAUAUGUUCGUUUUCCUUCUCCAUGUGGGUAAACUUGCCAAAAACUUAUUUCUAAUGAAAAUUCUACCAAAUGUUUUACCUGUAAAAAUAUAAAGUUCACCAACAAAAACCUGAGAAAAAUGAAAAAGGAAAAUACAAUAUAUAUUGAAAAAACUUUUGGGGUUUUACUGCCUUAUCUAUCUGAUACGUGAAUAUGUUCCAGAAAUGCAGGUUGAAAGAAGAACCUCUAACAUUUGGUGCACUUUCUGUGUUAAAACAUCUUUUACCUAGGUUGGUCUUUCCCCUCCUCUAAAUGUUGAGUAUUUCACCAAUAUAUGUUCUUAUUAAGUUUUUCUGAAGGUUGUCUGAAGCUUGGCAUGCUAAAAGGCCUCUGCUAGUUGAAUCAGUGAAAAAUUUAUUAGAUGAGAAUAAUUUGGCUGUCUGCAAGGCACUUUCUGAGGUACUGUGUCAUUGGCAAAAUACUCAUUGUUUUAUACAAAUUAUCAGGUGUUUGUUAAUAUUUAUGUUUUAAUGAUUGUGUCUGAUUCUAGUUAAUCGUUGUUAUGGCGUCCCACUGUUACUUGGUUGGCCCACCAGGAGAGUUAUUUGUAGAGUACUUGGUACGUCACUGUGCAGUGAUAGAUUUGGAUAAGGACUUAAGGAGUUCAAAGGAAUUGAGGUCGAGUGGCUAUUUCUAUCCUUUCCAGCACAAGAAAUCAGAGGUUUGACCUUUUUCUUUAGAAUGUGUUGCAUUUGUUGGACUAUAUGCUGUGAAUGCGGUAUACUGCUGCAUAGAAUCUAAUAAUAAUAUCUAUCAUGCUGUAUUUAUAUUGUCAAAGCCUAGCGCAUAGUAAUAUUAUAUUGCGUGUGUGUGAGCGGCUAUAUUCUAACUAGCGUAGAUAGAAAUGGCAUGCAUACAGUGACUUGUAUUUUUAGCCCAUUCUAUCAUAAAUUCACCAUAUAUUAACCACCACAUGACUUGUACUUUAUCAGUGUUCAAAUUUGUGAUUUCUUCUGAACUAUGGGUCUUAUGUUUGGUUUUAAAUGAAUUAUAUAGAACCACUUUAACAACACAAAUGGAAUCAAGAAUACUCUCAACCCGAACCGAUAAUGGUACUAGUGGCAGUUGUCCAAAUAUAAGUUUUCUGAGCUGUUUAUUUUUUGAUGAUCUUUUGGUAGGUGUUCAAUAUUUUUCAGAGAUUUUAUCUUUAUAAUGACGAACACAUCAUCGGUUAAUGAAAUUCUCAUCUUUGUGAUAGAAAUAAAAUAUGAAUGUCCUGUUCACAACAUAUAUUAUCCAUUAAAGUUAGGGGCAUGGAAGGAUAAAGUUCUUCCUUGUAAGUUCCAGGAUUUUUUCAUGUAACCAUUUUAUGUUCUUUCAAUUAAGCAUGUUCUUUUUGCAUAUUAUUCUUUUAAACUCUCAUAUCAUUCGCAGGUAAACAUUGGAGGUGUUUGUCCAACAGAUUUACGUGAAAUCUGUGAAAAAGGUCUUCUUUUAAUAACUGUCACCAUUCCUGAAAUGGAGGUAUGUCAAUGCCUUUUGUCUUAACCCCUUUGCGUGUGUUCUCGUGUUUCUCUUUUGCUGGUUACAGUCUGUUGGUUUUAUUGUAAUAAUAUUUUCUCAAUAUUUCCAGCAUGUGCUCUGGCCAUUUUUGUUGAAAAUGAUCAUACCGCGAAUUUACACUGAUGCAGUUGCCACGGUAGGUGAUAUACUGUGUGUAUGUGUAACAUGACAUGCUACUUUACCCGUACGUCUCUAUUAUCUUCUUAACGUAUUUUCUGUCUGCUGGAAUAUGAGUUCCAUUCUGCCAUGAAUAUCUGGAGUUGGUAAAACUGAUUUUUUUCUUUUCUUAGUGAUCUAACUACUUAUAUAGGUUUGCAGGUGUAUCUCAGAAUUAUGCAGACAUAAACAUACUCAAAGUGAUACAAUUCUUUCUGAUUGUAAAGCCCGUUUUGAUGUUCCUAAUCCUGAGGUUUGAUAUCUUCUUUUUUAUGUCCUUGUGUAUUUGAUCUCUGAUAGAAAUGUAUUACCAAACGGCUUUCCCAUAAUUGAAAUUCAGGAUCUUUUUGCACGGCUUGUGGUGCUUCUCCACAAUCCUUUGGCGAGGGAGCAGCUCGUGCCUCAGAUUUUAACUGUAAGUGUCUUUACUGCUAGCAGCAAAAUUUAGAUAUUAAAUUCAUUGGCAACUGAAUCAUGUAGCUUUAUAGGACUUCUAAUUAUUACAAGACUUGGAUUUAAUUAGAUUGAAUGAUGUGGGAAUUAGCCUUUUGAUCUGUAUCCUUAAUUUUCAACCAACAAGUAUUGUGAUGAAUAUCAUAUGUCUCCAUAGUUUGACUUCCGAUGCACACAAUGGUGCAUUUCCUACUUCUGUUAUGACUUGAUUUGUGUUGUAAUUCAGAAAAAAAACAUCUUAUAUAUUCUUAUCGAGCAGAGCCUGCAGACUAUAUUCAGUUUAAGUUGUUUUGUUAAGCAUUUAUAAUGAAGUCAGGGUUUGAAAGGUGGCUAGUGUUUAGCAAGAAAAACCUCAUUUAUACUAUAUGUGGUAAUUUAUCAAGAUCAGCUACCCAAGAAAAGUUAUAAUUUAAACUGUGAGUGUCUUUUUAGCAGAGUAACUAUUAGAAUGGAAUCAAGGCAAUAUAAACUUACUGACAGCAAAACUGUUUUGACUUCUUAUAUGUUGUUUUUGCAGGUUCUGCUGCACUUAGCUUCUCUAUUUCCCAAGAAUAUCGUCGUAUUUUGGCAAGAUGAGGUAUACAAGGUUGAUGAUAGAGUUGAUUUUUAGUAUUAAGAGUUGAUUAUUUAUGUGGGAAGGCUUUACGAUCAUGCUUUGUGGUUAUUAUUUACUAUAUAAAUAUAUUUUCCAUGUGUCAGUUAGUUGCAUUUGCGCUUGGAUUGAUAUUAAUGAAUUGUGGGGUCAAAAUAAUGGGUAGAGUUUGGGGCGUGCAUGUAGUGGGAUUAACUAUCAUCAAGGUUGAGUAGCAUCAGAUACGAUCUUGAAGCAAAAUCAAGAUGGCCUUAUUGUUUAGAGAGUAUUGGUGUUUCUUAUUUCGUUGGAGUUCAUGGUGGCUGGUGCCUUGUUGUUGUUGGAUAAUCCUUAACUUUGUUGUCUUGUGGUAAUUAAAUCAUAUCUGAUUCAGCAUUUUAGACACAUCUUUAUAAUGUUUUGAGUAUUUUGGCGUAAUGGCAUGUUCUUUAUUUUUGUUAAUGUUGUUACCUUAAAGUGUUCUUAUAAAUAUUAAACUAUGAGUCAGGUUCUGCACUCACCGUACAAGAUAGACACAAAAUGACAGUUCUGUUCUAAUUGUUUGUCUUCUUCUGUAAGCUCUAGAUUCCCAAAAUGAAAGCUUAUGUAAGUGAUCCGGAAGACCUAAAGCAAGAUCCAUCAUAUCAGGAGACAUGGGAUGACAUGGUUAUUAAUGUAAGCUCUACUAUUCUUGUUAAUUAUCUUUAAUACGGACCAGGCCACAUUGUCUACUUGAGAAAACUGUUGUGAAUUAACACAGUGAGACUCUUUAAUCUUCUAAAAUCAUGUUCCUUUCUCUCAUUGCUCAAGCGCUCAACAAGUCUUUUGUUAACAGUGAUAAAAUUACUUGAGUUGUACUAUGCUUAUAUCUCUACUAUUGACUGGGAACGGAAAGGGAAGGCUAUUCUCUGUGCAGGCCACUUAUAUACUCUUUAUUUGUGGCCAACAGUUUGUUGCAGAAUCAUUGGAUGUGAUUCAGGAUGUUGAUUGGGUUAUUUCUCUAGGAAACUCUUUUGCUAAACAAUAUGAACUUUAUUCAUCCGAAGAUGAGCACUCUGCACUGCUUCACAGGUAUGAUGCAUUGUUAUGCAACACUCUUUUAUGGUGUCACUAAGAGCCACCACAUCUUUUUUUUGCUUCUUCAUGAUUUCUGCAUUUCCCGGGACUGACCGUCUAGAAAGGGGACAUCAGCUUUUUUUUUCGUCAGUGAUUGUUUUUUGUGACCAGGAACUGAAAUUAUUCGAUCUUUCCUACUGCAGGUGUCUUGGCAUUUUGCUGCAGAAAGUACAUGAUAGAACCUACGUACAUGCUAAGAUUGAUUUGAUGUACAUGCAAGCUAACAUUGCUUUGCCAGUUAAUAGGCUUGGUCUGGCAAAGGCCAUGGGAUUGGUAAUCUUUCUCUGCUUAAAAUACUACUUAUUCACGCUUAUCUCUUCGCAAGUAUUGGGUGUACGAGUUUUGUUAAGCCAAUCUUGUCGAGUAAAUGAGGCUAUGGGUUGCUGCUGCAUUUCCCAGGUUGCUGCAUCCCACUUGGACACAGUUCUGGACAAGCUUAAAGAUAUUCUUGAUACUGUGGGUGAUAGUAUCUUCAAAAGGUAUAUGCUGGGGACGUAUGAGUUAGUUUUAUCUCCUACGGUCUAUUAUGUAUUGGUAAAAUUUUAUGGAAUUAGAAUUUCCGCAUAUCUUAAUCAUGUGAUUAUAAAUACUGCGGGCACAAGGAGUUCAUUCUGGCUUGUAAUAUGUCAAGAUUGAUGUACUCUUAAUCCGGAGGUACCACAUGUUGUUUGCUAGUAGGUCUGAAAAUAAACUUUAGCUUGUAUUUGAGUUCGAUAUCUCUCCCUAUUUAACUUAAAAUGUCUUAAAGUGCUGGUGCUUUCUUUGUAUCUAAGCUUGAAGUCUGAAUGAUGCAAACUUCAUUGCAGGAUUAUGUCAUUCUUUUCUGAUAGUGCUAAAAUGGAAGAAUCAGAUGAUGUUCAUGCUGCUUUGGCUCUUAUGUAUGGGUAUGCUGCAAAAUACGCUCCAUCAACAGUUAUUGAAGCCAGAAUAGAUGCACUUGUGGUACAGCAGAAUCGGUGUUCUUUUGUUUUAUUGAUCUGCUAUGCCUGCCUGCUCUGAGUGUCUGUAUAUAUGUAUUUGGUUCUCCCUUGUAGCCUAAAUUUGCAAUGAGUGGAACAUCAUUUUUUUCAAUUCAGUAUCUGCUCUAUGCUUGUGAAAUGUGAAGACAUUUAUCUAUCUUUAGACAUGACUGUAUUGCCAUCCUAUUUUAUUGCAUAGGAGUAUGCAACUAAAAUAUUUACACUGGCGUGAUCCUUAAAUAUUAUUAGGUUCCAAUAUGUUGCAAAUGUCUCCUGCGGUGGUGUCAGAUUUUUAUGUUGGGUCAUUGUAAUAAUACUAUUUAAUCUAAGGCUGAUCAAAAUAUGUUGUUUUUGGUUUGGGGUUUCUAAAUACUACAGCUGUAUUUGAAUUGAUAAUUUUCAAGUGGUCGGACGUUUCUGAAACUUGUGGAAUGGUACUUUUUAGCUGUUCCUAGUAUACAUGUUGUUUGAGGUCUCAGUGAUGCAGUUAAUGCAUGAAUUAUGCACUGUACUGCUCCACGAGAACUGUGAUAAUUGUUCAUUUAGCAUCUUCUUGCCAAGUUGACAUGUUGCUAUCAUUGUUACUUGUUGAGUUGGGUAUUAUUAUUACCACGGUUUUCUUCUGCUUUCGGCUUUCUGGCAUCUGUUCUAACGUGUUUACAUAAGGUUUUUUUAUGAUACCUUUUGUGCAAUGUUUGACAGGGAACUAAUAUGCUUUCGCGGCUUCUUAAUGUACGGCAUCCUACAGCGAAGCAGGCAGUUAUUACGGCUAUUGAUUUACUAGGUUUGUAAAUUCACCAAAAUAUUGUCCGGAAUGCGCCACCUCUGUUGCUAUGUUGUUAUUUGUGCAUCAGGAUGACAUCUCUUUCUCAAGUGUUCUUACGUAGCUGGUUGAUUGCUACCAUCAUGUUAAUGUACAAGGAACCAUUUGGCUGACUACAUAUCCAAAAACUGUGCACACUUUCAAAUUGCUAGUUAUAUUUGGCCCGAACUUUGUUAUUUCACAUGAUUGAGAACUUAGCUGGAAAGAAAAACAAUAGAAGUAUGAUGCCAUUGCCUUUCUACAACGGGUGACUUUGGUUCCGCGAAGAAUGAGGCGUAUAAUAUAACGAGAAUACCUAAAAGAUUAACCGAUCCAUGAAUAUUCAGCAGAAACUACAGAAUUUGUUCCUUAAUCACGAUUCAUGUUCUAUUGUCCUUGUUUUAAAUUAUUUUAUGUGGUCACAAUUCAUAAUAUACAAGUCGACAAUGCAUCUUCUAUCCAUAGAGCCUGAUCUAAAAUUACAAUUCAUGAGGUAAUUGCUCUUUUCUCUAUCUCUAUGGGAAUUAAACUGAUUUUGCCAAUGCAGGUCAGGCUGUCAUUGGUGCUGCUGAAAGUGGCAUAUCAUUUCCGUUGAAAAGGAGAGAUAUGUUGCUUGAUUACAUAUUGACUUUAAUGGGCCGUGAUGAUGAAGAUGGACUCUCUGAUUCUAAUCUGGAGCUCCUGCACACUCAGGUUUGUUAUUUGGGAGUUGCUAUUUGUUUUGACAUUUCAUAUACAUGAACAGUGUGGCAUAGGGCCAAGAAACUAUAUCGAUUCAUGAAUGAUCCCCAAUUUUCGAUCUAUUAUACUUUGAAGUUUCUCCAAAUGUGCCAUUACUUGUGACCAGGUAAUUGGUACCAUUUAACCAAAGUAGAUUCCUUCACAUCCAACUAAAGAUUAAUUAUUCCACAACAGUAGGAAGGCCUGACUGAAAAAUUUGGUAAUUGUGUUCGUUGCUAUAUAUUUAUUCAUUUCAGUGAACUAUCCUUUAUGAAAGUUUGCUCAGUAAUAGGAAACAUAAUAGUGUUGCUCCUGUAACUUGAUGGAAACUCCCCCUAUUAAUGCUCUUCCCUCAAGUUGAAUAUUAAGGAAUGAAACUGUCCCUUGACAUAUUAUAAUGUAUUUUUGUUGAAUUGUGUUUCUAAGUUCACAUGGAUGGAAACAUUCUUAAUCCUGCCCAAUAUUUUUAAAGUGCAUUAUAUUCUCUGUAUAUUUUUAACCUGAAUAAAAUAAUAUUAGGUUCAAAACUAAGCUAUAUUUAACUUCUGUGCAUGUUCCUAUGCAUAACAUAGCUGAUGAUUUGUAGGCCGUUGUUUCAUUAGAGUAAGUACAUUAUUUUCCUAGCUUUUCCGUAUGUUUGCCUGAUCUAGAUCUUUCUAUGCAGUCCCUUGCAUUAAGUGCUUGUACUACGUUGGUCUCUGUGGAGCCAAAAUUAACUACUGAAACGAGGAACCUUGUGCUGAAGGUGAGAGAUGCAACUUAAUAGAGUCAUUUGUUAGUUACAAGAAUAUUUACCCCUCUGAUUAUUUUGUCAGGCUACUUUAGGAUUCUUUGGUUUGCCAAACGAUCCUCCUGAUGUUAUGGAUGGUCUGAUACACAAUCUUAUUACUCUUCUUUGUGCAAUCCUCGUUACAAGGUAAUUAUUCAGUCCGGAACUACUUAAAUUUUACUUUGUUUGGUACUUGCAAGCAUCAUUUAAGAUUGUUAAGGACUUUUAUGCAUGUUUGGGGCGGCUUUAUACUGUUCUCCACCCAACAAUUAGAAACCAAUGACACGGUAAAUAUAACCCAUUGAAUGCAUAAGAAACUUUGGGCAUUUUGUAGCUACUAAGAUUGUGGAUAUGCAAUGAUGUCUUAGGACAUAUUCUCUAGCUGCUUUGACAAGUUGUUUUAUUCAGUGGGGAGGAUGGGAGAAGUCGGACAGAACAGCUACUGCACAUCUUGAGACAGAUUGAUCCAUAUGUUUCCUCCUCUGUCGAAUAUCAGAGACAGAGAGGUUGUCUUGCAGCUUAUGAGAUGCUUCAUAAGUUUCGGACUGUAUGUGUUGGUGGAUACUGUUCGCUUGGCUGUCAAGGAAGUUGCACCCACAGCAGGAGAUUCGACCGUGCUUCAAAUUAUAAUUUUUCCAAUUUGCCAUGUUAGUCUCUCUCUCUCUCUCUAUCUCUCUCUCUCUCUCUCUCUCUCUCUCUCUCUCUCUCUCUCUCUCUCUCUCUCUCUCUCUCUCUCUCUCUCUCUCUCUCUCUCUCUCUCUCUCUCUCUCUCUCUCUCUCUCUCUCUCUCUCUCUCUCUCUCUCUGUUUACUUUUCAUUCUCAUUUCAUAUAUCAAGCCUCAUUCUCUCUUGGUUAUUUUCAGCUGCAUUUGUAUCCCCAAGCCGUGAUGCUUUGUGUAUAGGGGAGAGAAUCAUGGUGUAUCUUCCACGCUGCGCAGAUACAAAUUCUGAAGUCAGAAAAACCUCUGCUCAGGUCUGUAAUUGGUGAUGGUGUUAUCCUUUUCUGCUUAGUUCAUGACUGACCUAUAUGAAAUCGAUCUGAAUUAACACAAGCAAGGUUGUGGUUCUUUUUUAUUUCUUGCCCAAAUCUACGCCGAAUCUAGAUGAAUUAAGAUGGGUGAAGUUGAUUUUUUUCCUAUUUCUUGGUCAAUUAUUAUUAUUUUAUCGCGGUGCCAGCCAUAGAGAUUAAUUAUUAUUAUCUUAUCACGGUGCUUUAGUCUUGACUAUUUGCUCUCUUUGCAGAUUGUUGAUUUAUUUUUCAGUGUAUCUCUUUCAUUACCGAGGUCUUCAAACUCUAGUUUUGGCCUUGAUAUUGAAUUAUGUUACACCGCUUUAUCAGCACUGGAGGAUGUUAUUGCUAUCCUGAGGAGUGUAAGUUAAAUCAAAAUUCUCUUUUGAUCUUGUUUAAUUUAUCAUGCUUCUUUUCACUAAACUUCUGCUCCACUUUGAGAGUAACUUAUCCUGUUUGUAAUUUUGCAUAUAGGAUGCAUCACUUGAUCCAUCUGAGGUAUUCAACAGGGUUGUUUCCUCUGUUUGUGUAUUAUUCACAAAGGAUGAGGUAAGAAUUCAAAUAUUUUGUCUCUGUAUCUUUUGAACUUUUGAGAUAGUCAAAUGCUUUUGACAAGCUGUCCAACCUCAUCCAUUCUCAAUUCACUUUGUGCAGCUUGUUGCUGCUCUGCAUGUUUGCUCAGCAGCUAUAUGUGACAAGAUCAGGCAGUCUGCUGAAGGUGCAAUUCAAUCUGUGAUUGAGUUCAUUACGAAGAGGGGGAAGGAGCUGAAUGAGGCUGAUAUCUCAAGGUGGAGUGAGACAAUUGUGAUUCAAUCGUUAAUUCAAGCUGUGAUAGCUUUGCAUUUUAUCAUCUGAGAUCUUUGUGAAUAUUGCAUCAGGACGACACAAUCGUUGCUUUCUGCUGUGAUUCAUGUGACUGAGAAGUACCUACGUCAAGAAACACUCCAUGCUGUAUCCUUCUUAUAGAUCAUUUAUCUUUGUCUAUUUCAUUAUCCUUAGUGGUUUUCCUACAGCCUCUUGAAAGCUGGAAAACAUAAUAUGCAAUGUAUCUUGACUUGUGAGUAGCUUCUUUAACUGUUGAAAGAUCUCUUCUCUUGCUGAGAAUACCAGCUCAAGAAUUGUUUUUGGUGAAGUGUUGGCUGCUGCUGAGAGAGAUAUAGCGACAAAAGACGUAUCAAGAUUACGUGGUGGCUGGCCAAUACAGGAUGCAUUUCAUGUGAGUCUCUUCUCUUGGCAUAGGCCCAUAACGGCUGCCUGUUAAUGCUCUUAUGUUCCUAUUGCAUGGUGCAUUGACUGGUCAACAUUCUAUUUAAUUGCUUUCCAAAUUGAUUUGUUUGGUUGCUAUAUCCCUUUAUAAAGUUACGAUACCUGAUAUUGUUUGCUUUCGUGGAAUUAUUAGGCAUUUUCCCAGCAUGCAGUUCUUUCCUGUUCAUUCCUGGACCAUGUAACUUCUAUUCUGAAUCAGACACCUGUAUUUCAAGGUGGUCCUGGAAAGGGAGAGAAUCCCAACAUUUUUGGUGAAAGUCUUGAAGAAGAUAACGUGUUGCAUGCUGCUAUCACAGCUCUUACUGCCUUCUUCAGGUGUACUUUAAGUUGCAUUGUUUUGCUUACUCAUCUGCUUCUACAUUCUACAAUGACCAAAAGUAUGUUAUUUGCAGAGGGGGUGGGAAAAUCGGGAAAAGGGCUGUGGAGCAAAGCUAUGGGUCUGUCUUUGCAACUCUUGUGCUUCACUUGGGAACUUGUCAUUGUUUAGCUAAUUCUGGCCAGCACGAACCGCUUCGGUAACAAUAGCAUAUUUUCUUCCAUAAAUGCCUACUGAACUGGAAGUAACUGAUUCAGUUCUAUUAUUAUUUUGACAUUCUACAUUUGAUUUUCAGAGCUCUACUUGUCGCAUUCAAUGCAUUCUGUGAAUGUGUUGGUGAUCUGGAGAUGGGAAAGGUACUUGAGCCUCUCAUAAGUGGAAUUUUCACAAUGAUAAAUACUUGUAAUCUGAGUUUGGGGGCUAAAUAAAUCAAUUAUGUGCAGAUUGUGGCUAGAGACAGUGAACAAAAUGAAGAGGAUGCAUGGAUUGGUCUGAUCGGGGACCUCGCUGGGUGCAUUUCUAUAAAAAGGCCAAAAGAGGUAGUUAUUCUCAUAAAACUCUUUAAAUUCAAUUGUUCAUUUGAGCUAUAUUCAUGUUAUCAGUUAUACUGAAGACAUGUCUGUCCCACCAAUAGAAGACAUGUUUAACUUGAAGACAAAUCUCGUGAUUUUGUAAAGAUAAAACGGUGUAUAUUUGUACUUAAUGUUAAACUUGAAUAUCUCUCUACUGCAUUUCCACUUUAAGAUACACUAUUUCCUUGGAUAUGCUCGCUUUAUGAGUAAUUGUUAGUUAAAUCAGCCCAAGAACUAUGACAGACAUGCAAUUACAGAACCUGUUCAUAUCUUACUGAAAUGAUUUUUUUCCUGGAAAGAACAUAUGAAGAGAUUGCAGUUUAAAGGAAAAAAAAAAUCCUGAAUGCUCAUGUUUCUUCUCUCUUAGAAUACAAGUACUAUCUAUAUAUGUAUUCUAACUGCUACUUCUUUUUUUUCUCCUGUGAUUUUAUUGCUUCUCACUUAUCUAUUUACACUACUCAGAUCCCUACAAUUUGUUCAAUUCUCUGUAAAUCACUGGAUCGAUCCCCAAAAUAUAUGAGGGAAGCUGCAGCUGCUGCACUGUCAGAGUUCGUGCGGUUUAGGUAUAUUUGGGAUUCCUGUUCUUUCUCUCUCUGUGAGACAUUCUGACAUUUAUUGGUGUCUGUGAUAUCUGACUGUAAGUUUGGCUGUCUGAAUAGGUCUUGGCUUUCCCAUUUCUUUUUGAUAUAGGACAUUUUUUGAAAUAAUUAAGAAAAAGUAAAGAAAGUCAAAGGAGAUAGAGAGAACGUGUCUUGACCUCACUGUAGUAAGUAAAACAUUUAAUUAACUUCUCAUGUUACAUGAUAAAGUUCUCGUUCCUUUUUUUUACAUAUUAAAAUUUGUCUCUAAGUGGGUACAGGGCACAACCCAUAUCAAUUUUUUGGUUAUUAAGAACAAUUACAUGCUAGGAUAUUGAGAAACUGAGUAUAUAGCAUGCGUCCUUUUCUCCUUAAGUGAAAGUUAUAAUAUUAUCUGUAUCUGCGCUACCAGCAUCAGUAAUAUGAAGAGGGGCAGUUCUGGAAAGUCUUAUCCAAUCUGGAGGAUGAAUAUUAUGCUUCUAGAACAAAUAGUUCAAUCUUGCUUAUACUUGAGAUUUUUUUUUUGCUGCUUUAACAUUUUGAAGGAUGGAAAAGUAACAGUCUAGCUCAAAUUUGUAGUAAAUUGGACUAACAAAUGUCAGGUGCUUUGUUACAUAGUGUUGAUGUUUCUUGUUCAAAGCUCAAGUUAGAUUAACUUUUGCUCUUGCUUUCAAUUUCACGACAAGGUUUAUUAUCAUUCUGCAGUGACAGUUUAGGUUCGUUGUUGGAGCAGAUGGUUGAGGGACUGACUCGACAUGUUUCCGAUGAUUCUCCAAAUGUUAGGCGUCUUUGUUUAAGAGGACUUGUGCAGGUAGUUUAUUAUCAUAAUGAUCACUUGAAUUAAUUUCUAAAUACGCGGUGCAUGUUUUAUUUCGGAUGAUGUUUCUAUUAUCCCAAAUGUGUGGCCACCUAAUAAUUAACUGGUUUGCUUGGACCUGUUUUGCAGAUGCCUUCUGUCCAUGUUGUCCAGUACACUACUCAAAUUCUCAGUGUUAUAGUUGCUUUGCUUGACGAUCCGGAUGAAUCAGUUCAGCUUACUGCUGUCUCAUGUUUGCUGACGGUGAUUUAUUACGACAUUCUUUGCUCUAUUUAACACCUCCCCCCCACCCCCACCCAAAAAAAAACCAAGGAAAAGAAAAGAAAAUCUCUCGCUGAUUUACAUCAUUAUCUAUAUAUUGUGCUAAUAUUUACAUUUAUAGGUUCUUGCAACAUCUUCCACUGAUGCCGUGGAACCCGUUUUGCUUAACCUUUCAGUUCGGCUUCGUAAUCUUCAAGUAAGUUUUCAAGUACUACCAAUUUCACAUCAUUAUUGUCCAAGUAGUAGAUUUAGUGUGAAGUUAUUGGCUGCCGUCCAGAAAGUUUGUUGUCCAUGAGAAUAAAUGAAUUGCCUCUUCAAUUAAACUUAGUGUUGGCUGGCAGCUGAUUAACUUCCCAAUAGCAUUUGGUAGCAAGCUUACCCAACAAACGGGUCUUCAAUAUUUAAGGGAGUUCAAUUAUGCAAAAAAAUAUUACCCAGCUAUGUUUUUUCAUUUUUUUUGCUUGUAACAGAUAUGCAUGAAUGCAAAAAUCCGGGCGAAUGCGUUUGCAGCAUUUGGAGCACUAAGCAAGUAUGGGUUCGGUCCACAACGUGACACAUUUCUCGAGCAGGUCUAUUCAUUAGUUACUCUGAUCUGAUAUUUGAAUCGUAACCUAGUCAUUUGCUCUUGAGCAAUAUUAUGAUGAUCUACAAGAGAUUCAAAUUCGAUUCAACUUGAAUUUUAUAAUUUAUUAGGUUCAUGCUGCCUUUCCACGCUUGGUGUUACAUCUUCAUGAUGACGAUCUUGGUGUACGACGGGCUUGUCGGGUAGAUAAAUUAAUUCUUAAUACAUACUUUUACCAGAAAAGGACCUCUAAUUAUUAUUAAUUCACUUGAUCAUUUUCCUCUCAGAACACGUUCAAAUCUAUUUCUCCUUUGAUGGAAUUCAAUGGUAUUACUGCUCUUGCUAAUACACAUCGAUUGAGUUCUGAUCAUAGGUAUGUUUUAGUUUACUGAUUAAAUUAUCACUCUCUUUUUCUCCCUUAAUUAAUUUUCUGUUUUCAGAGCCGACUAUGAAGACUUCCUCAGAGAUAUUGCAAGGCAAUUUACUCAGCACAUGUCUUCUAGGGUUGAUACGUACAUGGGAUCCAUAAUACAGGUCAGCAUUUCCGAAUAACGAUAUUUAAAAAAAAAUUAUUUUUAAAACUUUGCAUGAUUUUUAGUAUGUCGACAAUUGCAGGCUUUUGAGGCUCCUUGGCCAGUAAUUCAAGCAAACGCCAUUUAUUUGUGCAGCAGUGUAAUUGCUUCCUCAAGUGAUCAACACAUCUCUGCCCUUUACCACAGCCAGGUUCUCGUUUACUCUUUAUUUAAAUAAAUUUAAAAUCUUCAAAAUUUUAAGAUUAUAUAUUUAUUGGCGUCAUCUUGAUUUAGGUAUUCGGAAUGUUGAUGGGAAAGAUAAGCCGAUCAACUGAUGCAAUAGUGAGAGCAACUGGUUCGUUGGCGCUUGGUUUGCUACUAAAGUCGGCCAAUUCGAGUUCUUGGAAAGUUGCACGUUUGGAUACGGAUUCCUCUGGACGUGAGACGGAAUCUUCUAGAAGGCAAUGAUGUUACAACCACCCCCAUUGACUGAUUUGACUCACUUUGAAUGUGAUGAAAUUGGUCUAGUAAACUCAAGUUGUAUGUAUAGACAGACACCAGGUAACUUAUUUAUUUAUUUGUUUGUGUGUAUAUAUGCAUGUAUCAUGUGUAUGUAUAUUUACGUGUGUAAUAAAGCAGUUGGAACAUAGGAAUAAUUUAGUUGUAGAUUUCUCUAUUAUAUAGUUGCCACUAUUUGGUGUGCUGUAAUAAUAACAGAAAUUUAGGGUGAACUACAAAAAUUGUAACUGUAACCUUUCUUUCACUUUUUAUUUUUUUAAUUAGAAGAAAUUCUAUCAAAUAUCGGAAUUGCAAAUACUUUAUUGAGAUGCUACGAACACCCCAUUGCAAAUAAAAAUUGUCUCAAAAGUAGAGAACAAAAACAGGCAUGUAGUCGGGAAAUGCAAAAUGCACUAAAUGCGGUGUAACGACCAGAAGAGAGGAGAAAAUAUUAGAAAGUAAGGUUUGGAAGAGAGGCGGAGAUCAAAUAACUCAAAUGGGUGGUGAAGAUUAAAGUUGAGAGAACCAACGGUCAAAAUUGGAGGAUGAAGAGAAUUCUCAGAGUUUGACCGAUCACUUGGGCUUUGAGUGUUAGGCUGCCUCAGAAUCAAUUGGGCCCUAAAUGCGACAAACCUGUAUUAAUAUUGAUGUGUUCACUUGUAAUAUCCACGUACAGUUAAACCUCUAUAAAUUAAUACAGUUGGGACUAUCAAAAUUUCAUUAAUUUAGCGAAAUAUUAACUUAUCGAUAAAUUAAUAAUUAUUAAUUUAUACAUUAAUUAAUAACUUAUUAAUUUAUGAAAUUACUUUUAUUAUUAUUUUCAAUAAAUACAUUUAUUUUAAAAAAAAUUGUGUAUAUUAUUCAUUGUACCAUUCCUUCAAUGCACUAUAGAGCCCGUUUAACGAACGGAAGCUCUUAAAGCAACAAUGGUAUACAACGAUUUUUGUUGAGUUAUGAGAAAACUAUAUCGAAAGUUCUAACCAUGUUAAGAAAAGUAAGGGACGAGAUUGGUGGCUAUGUAAACUUUCACGAGAAAAGAGCGAGAAUAAAUUAUAUUUUGUUAAAGCUUCAUAGAUCUAUAAAAAAUGUACUGGACCAUGUAGUUUAAAAAAAUAUUUUGAUGGCUUAUUAAUUUAUAUAUUAUAUGGGGCUUCUUAAAAUUUUCGNNNNNNNNNNNNNNNNNNNNNNNNNNNNNNNNNNNNNNNNNNNNNNNNNNNNNNNNNNNNNNNNNNNNNNNNNNNNNNNNNNNNNNNNNNNNNNNNNNNNUAGCGAGGUUAUUAAUUUAUCGGGUAUUAAUUUAUCGAGGUUCUACUGUAAUUAAUUAACUUGUGUCUUUUUAUAUAUUCUUUUUAAUUUAAAAAUUAAAUGGCCUUACCAUCAACACAAUCGUCUCAAAUUUCCACCUGGAUGUGAAAGAGCAGAUACUCUAUAGUCUAUUCUACCAACUUGUCACUUUAUUCUUUUUGGAAGGUAUAUAUAUAUAUAUAUAUAUAUAUAUAUAUAUAUAUAUAUAUAUAUAUAUAUAUAUAUAUAUAUAUAUAUAUAUAUAUAUAUAUAUAUAUAUAUAUAUAUAUAUAUAUAUAUAUAUAUAUAUAUAUAUAUAUAUAUAUAUAUAUAUAUAUAUAUAUAUAUAUAUAUAUAUAUAUAUAUAUAUAUAUAUAUAUAAAUAAAUAUAAAGAUAGAGAGAUAGAUAUAUAUAUAUAUAUAUAUAUAUAUAUAUAUAUAUAUAUAUAUAAUAACAAUAAUAAUAAUAAUAAUGGUAAAUUACAACCACCCAUGAGGUAUGGUCAAUUUACGAAAAAACCCCUCUUGUUUGAAUAAUUACAUCUACCCCUCAACUAUGAUUUUUUCUUACACCUCCACCCUUAUGGUGUCAAAUUCAACAUAAUUAUCAUCUAGAUUCUGUGAAAUGUGCUCUAGUUUGUACUCGUUUUGUGUAAAAAUACAGUUUUUGAUGCACCACAAUCUGAUAUAUACAAGCCAAAAAACACAUAUUAUGAUCAUCUUACUUCAAAAUGUAGAGUUCGAAUAAGAUAAAACGGGUACAAAAGUGAUAAUAUUAUUAUAUAUAAUCUCGAAGAUUCCAUUAAAUUUGAUGAGUUGAGGGGUGGUUGUAAUUAUCCAAACAAGAGGGGGUUUUCGUAAUUUGACAAUACCUCAAGGAGUGGUUGUAAUUUACCCGAAUAAUGAUUAUAAGACAGAGGAACGGAAGAAAAAGGGUGUAGGUGUGGAUGAUAAUAAGGUUGAAAAGCACAACAACUUGAUUUUGGUAUUGCUGUAACAUGUGAUGUGAGCACAACAAAAUUGCAGGUUCCAACCUGCACUUUCCAUCAUAUCACACCAACCACAUAUACACUGCUUACUUAGUUUAAAACCAUUUCUUUUUUAUGGAAACUUUAAUCCUUAUCCCUCACAUUUGUUGCCUAUUAUUUGAACAAAUCUUUCAUUUUGAUUAUUUUCAUUUUGCCAAAAAAGAUAAAAACUUGGAAAUCGGAUUUCGAAUUUAGAUAAUUUAUUUUUAUUAAUAUAUAAAAGUAAACACAGAAUCCGGAUUUAGUAAAUCAAAUUCAACGGGAUAAGAAGAAAAAAAAACCCUAUUUAAAAGGUAAAAAAAAACAUCAUAUCACUCCCAGCAAAUUAAAAAUGGCGAUCAAAGGAAAACAGCCUCACUUCAUCCUCUUCCCUCUAAUGGCACAAGGCCACAUGAUUCCGAUCAUGGACAUCGCCACUAUGCUCUCCGAACGCGGCGUCGCCUCCACCAUCCUCACCACCCCCCACAACGCCGCCCGAUUCCACCGCCGGAGCACACAAUCAUCCUCCCUAUCGAACAACAUUCACAUCCUCAACAUCGAAUUUCCAUGCGUCGAAGCAGGUCUCCCCCGCGGCUGCGAGAAUCUCGACAUGCUCCCUUCUUCCGACGACGUCAUGAAAUUCUUCAAAGCCGCCGCCAUGAUGAAGGACCAUAUCGAACACCUGCUCCGCCGCCUCAAACCCUCUCCCACCUGUCUAAUCUCCGACAUGUGGUUCCCCUGGACAACCGACCUUGCCCUAAAACUGCGAAUUCCGAGACUCGUUUUCUACGGGACGAGCUGCUUCUCUCUCCUCUGCAUGCACAUCCUCGGAAUCUCCGACGAUUUUCAUGCAAUGGCUUCCGAUUCCGACUACUUUGUCGUCCCUGGUUUGCCCGACAGAAUUGAAGUCACGAAAGCUCAUUUUAAGGCAACUUUUGACCAGCUAACCCCUGAGUGGACUCGGAUGUGGGACGAGUUGAGAGAGGCCGAGGCGAAUGCAUUCGGAACGGUCUCAAAUUCUUUCGACGAACUGGAGACGCACUACAUUGAAGGUUACAGAAAAGCCAAAGGGAACAAUGUAUGGUGCAUCGGUCCAGUUUCACUAUGCAACAAAGAGGAUUCCGACAAGGCUGUAAGAGGCAACAAGGCCUCGAUUUGCGAGCACGAGUGCAUGAAAUGGCUCGAUUCGCACGAACCGAGUUCCGUUAUAUACGUUUGCCUUGGAAGCAUGUCGAACAUAGCUACCUCACAGUUGAUGGAGCUAGGGUUAGGGUUAGAAGCUUCGAAGAAACCCUUUAUUUGGGUUAUACGAAACGCUUCCGAUGAACUCCAAACAUGGCUAUUGGAGGAGAAGUUUAGAGAGAGAAACAAUGGGAGGGGGCUCUUGAUCCAUGGGUGGUCCCCGCAGGUGUUGAUUCUCUCACACCGUUCGAUCGGAGGGUUUCUGACGCACUGCGGGUGGAAUUCGACUCUGGAGGGGAUAACUGCGGGUGUGCCGAUGAUGACGUGGCCGUUGUCCGCGGAGCAGUUUUUCAACGAGCGGUUGAUAGUGAAUGUGAUCAAGGUUGGAGUGAGGGUGGGGGUUGAAGUGCCGGCGAUGUUUCUAGAGAGAGAGAAUGAUGUGGUGAAGAGUGAGGAGAUUAGGAGGGGUGUUGAGGUGUUGAUGGAUGAGGGAGAAGAAGGGAGAGAGAGGAGAGAGAGAGCGAGAGAGAUGGGGGAGAUGGCGAAAAGGGCGGUGGAGGAAGGCGGAUCUUCUCACCGGAAUAUGGCGGCGCUUAUACAAGAUGUGGUGGUUCAACAGUCAAUGCUAGCAGAUGAUCAAGAAAAUGCCUGAUAUUUAUAUAUCUAUCAUAUAAUAUAUCAUGUUCUUGUGUAAUGUAAUAUGUCAUAAAUAAACUGAAGUAGUAUGAGUGUUCCUCCAAAAAUAAAUAUAUCUUUCUAACAAACCCUAUCGUGAAACAAUAAAAGAAGCUAUUAAUUCAUUCCAUAUGAGUAUCAAACUAAAAUCUCUAGCUCUCCAUACAGUACCAACUCCCUCCUUUUCCCUACAGUUACAUAGACUGGCGGCCAAUAUAUUAAUCAAGAACAAGAAAAUCCCCAUUUUGCCCUCCCCCUUUCAUGGUACAAGGCCACAUGAUCGAUCCCCACCGUCGAUAUCGCCAAAUUACUACGAGGCUAAUUUUUUUCUUUAAAAAAUAGCAUAAAUAAAUGCCACGUUUGUAGGGGUAGAAUUGGAAUAUGUUGAAAAAUAUUCCCUAAAAUAAAAAAAGAUUCCAUGAAAAAAUCACACCAUAUGAAGGUGGGUGUAAGACUGAAACAAAUAUAGGAGGGAUUUUGGUAAUUACGGAGAGGGGGUGUUUUUCAUAAUUUAACCUAAAAUCAGGGAGAUGUUUGUAAUGUACCCUUCAUCUUAGUUAUAACAGAUUGAGAGUUUUAAUAAAUCUCUUUAGCCAGCUGAUUAUAUUCAUGAUUUCUUUUUUUUUUUUGUUUGUUACUAAAUGUUUUUAGCAAUGAAUUGUCCUUGUCUUCUGAUAAUGUCCGGCAGUGUGGCAUGUGACACUUGGAAGGCGAUAUGUAUAUAUACCACAAAAGAUCUAGCUAAACAUCACAUGAAACCAUAUAGAAUUGUCUGUACAGCAUGCUGACGUCACCUCUUACGCCAUCGAUCAUUUGAAUUGAUAUACACCAAACUAUACUCUAUUAUUAUUGUUCAUUGUUCUUAUACAUUAUUAUAUUAUUAUUAUUAAUAAUAAUAAUUAAUCCCACUGCUUUAUAACAACAUCCUCAGAAUCUCAAAUUAGAAUUAAACCUCAUCUUCAAAAAAAAUGGCAUCACCACCAAACAAUAAUCCUCUACACUUCGUUCUGAUACCGUUAAUGGCGCCAGGACACAUAAUACCCAUGAUAGACAUGGCCAAACUGCUAGCCAGACGCCACGUCAGCGUCUCGAUCCUCGUCACGCACCUCGACGCCACACGGUUCAGUCCGGUGAUUGACCGGGCCGUUGAAUCCGGGCUGUCAAUCCAGCUUAUCAAAAUCAGGUUCCCCUGCGAGGAGGCGGGAUUGCCACGUGGAUGCGAGAGCGCAGACACCCUACCUUCUUAUCACUUCAUCGGUAACUUCUUCAACGCAAUCAUCAUGCUCCAGAAACCUCUAGAAGAAUUAAUCUCGAAAGAGCUGAUGAAUAAUAACCCUAGUCCGGUCAGCUGCAUAAUCAGCGACAAGCACAUAACAUGGACCGCCGCCACGUGCGAUAAGUUCCGAAUUCCGAGGAUUGUAUUCGACGGAAUGAACUGCUUCACUCAGGUGGUGAGCAACGCUCUGUUUAUCUCCAAGGUUUACGAGCGGGGCCCACCGGAUGAGCCUUUCCUGGUGCCUGGUUUACCCGACGAGAUCGAGUUCACCAGGAACCAGCUCCCUGGAUUAUUUAAUCCAGGGCCGUUGGAUGUCACAGGCGUCCGCGAACAAGUGAGGGAAACCGAGAAACGGGCUUACGGGGUGGUGGUCAACACCUUCGAAGAGGUGGAGAAGAGGUACGUGGACGAGUUCAAAACCCUAAAAAACGGCAAGGUUUGGUGCGUCGGGCCGUUGUCACUUUCCAGCAAGGGCGAUUUAGACAUUUCACAAAGAGGAAACCAGGCCUCGAUCGACACCGACCAAUGCCUGAAAUGGCUCGACGGUAAGAAUCCAGGGUCCGUAAUCUACUCGUGCCUCGGAAGCCUGAGCCGGCUAUCGCCGGCUCAGUUCGUCGAGUUCGCACUAGGGCUGGAGGAAUCGAACCAUCCGUUCAUCAUCGUGGUAAAAAAAUCCGGAUCGAAAUCGGAGGAGAUAGAGAAUUGGAUCAAGGAAGAUGGGAUUGAGGAGAGAACUAAAGAGAGGGGCUUAUUCAUCCGAGGGUGGGCCCCACAGGUGAUGAUUCUAUCGCACGCAUCGGUCGGAGGGUUUCUAACGCACUGCGGAUGGAAUUCGACUCUGGAGGGGAUAUCGGCCGGCCUGCCAAUGGUGACGUGGCCGAUGUUCGCCGAGCAGUUCCUGAAUGAGAAACUGAUCGUCCGGAUAUUAAAUACUGGUGUUGGAGUUGGUGCACGUGGUGUUGUACAUUUAGGAGGUGAUGAAGUAAAGGCAUCAAGUAAUAAGCUGGUGAAGAGGAGUGAAAUAAAGGAGGCUAUUUGGAGAGUAAUGGAGGAGAGAGAAAGUGGAUGUGAGAGAAGGAAAAGAGCAAAAGAGUUUGGGGAAAUGGCGAACAAGUCUGUGGAAGAAGGAGGUUCUUCUUAUCUUAACAUUGAGUUGCUAAUUCGAGAUAUUCAGCAGUUGGUGAAAAAAUAAGCAAUGUUUUGGAGAAUGAUUAAUUUGUUUGAGAAGUAGGAGAUGAUUUAAUCUUUGUUACAAUAAAAUUAUAUUUGGAUAUGGCAAUAUAUAAUUAUGUCCACAUAUAUAUAUUUUUGUUGUCUCUCUAGCUAGCUAGGUCCAGUAACAAUUGUGGUACCUCUUUAUUUCACAUCACCCUCCAUUAUUGAUAUAUAUACAUCCAAUAUCUAAUUAGGGGUGGAAACGAGCCGAGCUCGAGCCAAGCUCGUCUCUUUUGGCCAGCUCGAGCUCGAGUCCAUGUUGCCGAGCUCGAGCUCAUCGAGCCAAUUUUGGCGAGCUCGAGCUCGGGCUCAUUAAUUUUUUUUAUUUAUUAAAAUCAUUUAAUUUUUUAUUAAAAAUUAUUUAUAGGAAAAUAAAAAAAAAAAUUAUAAAAUAAAUAAUGAACUCUAGUUAUAUUUUUUUUUUCUAUUAUUAUUAUUAUAAUAUUUUAUAUUAUUAUGAAUUAUUUAAGUAAUAUAGAUUUGUUUCUAUUUAAAUACUAGAAAUAUUUAUUAUUAUAGACUAUUUACUAUUUAGUUAAUAAUAAUAAUAAUAAUAAUAAGAAUAAGAAUAAAAAAAAAAAAAAAAAUAGAAGGCAGCUCGCGAGCUGUCGAACAACUACAUUUGGGCUCGAGCUCGAUCUCAAAAAACUCGAGCUCGAGUUCGAGCCUUUGUCGAGCCGACUCGUCGAGUUUGCGAGCCGGCUCGGCUCGUUUACCACCCCUAUAUCUAAUGUUAAUAAAUUGUUUUCGAAUUUUUUUAGUUGAGAGAGUUUUGAUUUUUUAGAAAGUUAGAAAAUUGACAAAUGAUACUACCGCUGCAAAUAAGCCAAUUUCAGUAAAAGUCUCGUUGUAAUUAGCAUUUCAGUUUUUUUAUUAAGUAUAUUUGUAUUUACUUUACUUCAUUUAAUCGUGACCGUUAGAUUAGUAGGUAGUUAGAUGUAAUAUCUAAUGGCUGAGGUAAUAGAAACGUUAUAUCCAGCUCAACACAUAUAAUUUAUAAAUACUGUAUAAUCCCCUUUGAAAUUAAUUAAUUUUAAAUAAUACAAUUUUCCAUUUCUUCUUUAUAGACUGCAAAUGUUCUUCCUUUGAAUUUUAUUUCUUUCCAUUUAGCUUAUAACAAAAGACGAAAUUUCUUGUUCCCAGUGUCCCGUCCCCUGACCCAUCACAAAUGAUGGAAGAAUGUAAAUCGUAAUGACUGAACGGUCCGUUAUAACUUAAACUUCUGGUUUUCUAGAUUGUAAUACGAAGACUGGCGCAAAAUCCGAUGAUGAAUAUUCCUAGAUAGCUGUCUCCCUAGCUAGUAGUUGUCCCUCCGAUAAUUUCCAAGAAAAUUCCAGAAUUUACCUAUGUCUAAAAAUAAAAAUAAAAAUAAAAAUAAGAAUAACAAUAAAAAUAAAAUAAAAAUAAAUAAAAAUAUAGUCCACUCAAUUUGUUAGCGAUUCUUAUUAUUUCGAUUAUCAUUGAAAAAUAAUAUUGUCCACCCCCUCUAGAUCUAGUGUGACCAACCCUAUAGCCCUGCUGAAUAUAUUACGUAGGACUUGCUAGAAAAAAUCAUAAAAAUACACACAUACCACCUAAUUUAUUGCUCUGCCAUUUUCAAUUAAGUAAAUUAUAAUUUCUUGAUUCAUCAUCAAAUGACGUCAGAAGCUGAGAGCUAUCGUCAUCUUCAUUUCCUUCUCAUCCCUCUAAUGUCACAGAGCCACAUCAUCCCGUUAACAGACUUCGGCAAACUACUCGCCCACCGCGGCCCACUCGUCUCCAUUAUCACCACCCCCCAGAACGCCGUCAGAUACAAACCAACCGUCGACGCCGCCGCCGCCGCCGGCCUGAGAAUCCAGAUGAUACCACUCCAGUUCCCCGGCCAAGAAGCCGGCCUCCCCCACGGCUGCGAAAACAUGGACUCGUUAACCUCAAUGGGCUUAGCCACCGAAUUCUUCGCCGCAUCGGAAAUGCUCAAAACCCCACUCCAGAAAGCAAUGGCCGAACUUGAUCCGAAACCGGCCUGCAUUAUCUCCACCAACGCACUCCCCUGGACGCAGCAAAUCGCCGACGAGUUCGAUAUUCCGAGGUAUGUUUUCGAGACCAUAUCGUGUUUCACUCUCUUAUGUUCCCACAACAUCCUGUCCGUCGAAAACCCGAAUUCCAUGUCGGAUGAAGAAACCUUUUUAGUACCUGACAUACCUCACGUGAUCGAGUUCACGAAAUCCCAGUUGCCGGAGACCACCGCAAACUCCGCCAAAAAAUCGCCGGAGAACAACGACCAUACUACAAGCGUAAUAAACCAGAUAAUAAAAGCUCAACUUUCCGCCAGGGGUACUUUGGUCAACACUUUUGACGAACUCGAGCCCGAAUACGUAAACGGAUACAGAAAACAAAGACAAAACCUUUGGUGCAUUGGUCCAGUUUCACUAUCCAACAAAAACCUAACCGAGAAAUCGAACAGAGGCAACAAACCCUCAAUAAACGAGCAGCACUGCUUAGCAUGGCUAGAUUCCAUGGAGCCCAAAUCGGUAAUUUACGCGUGUUUCGGGAGCCUUUGUCGUAUAUCAGCCAAUCAGAUCAAAGAAAUUGGGUUGGGAUUGGAAGCUUCGAAUUCCCCAUUCAUUUGGAUAAUCAGGGGCCUGGAUUCAUCAGCUGAAGUAGAGAAAUGGCUCGAGGUAGAAAAUUUCGAAAAGCGAGUCGAAAAACGAGGGCUAGUAAUUCGGGGGUGGGCCCCACAGGUGAUGAUACUGUCGCACCGCUCCGUCGGGGGAUUCUUGACGCACUGCGGGUGGAACUCUACGCUGGAGGGGGUGUGUGCAGGUUUGCCGAUGAUUACGUGGCCUAUGUUUGCCGAGCAGUUUUACAACGAGAAGUUUAUCGUGCACGUGCUGAAAAUAGGUGUGAGGGUGGGAGUUGAGGGUGGUUGUAGUAAGGGUUUGUUGGUGACGUGGCAAAGAGUUAAGGAAUCUGUGGAGGAGUUGAUGAAUAUUGAAGAUGGUGAGGGUAGAGAGAGAAGGAGGAGAGCUGAAAAAUUGAGAGAGAUGGCGAAAGAAGCUUUGGAAAAUGGUGGGUCGUCUUAUUUGAAUAUUGGUUUCUUGAUUGAAGAUGUUGUGCAGCAAGUUUGUAAGAAAUUAAAUUGUUGAUCAUUCUGUACUAGGUUUCAAAUUGUCAAUUAAUUUGAAUUUUAAAGUUGAAGUAGUUUUAUGUUGAUAAAUAAAUUGGAGAUUUGGAACAAUAUUUUCCAAUUCGGUCAAUUUCCCAAUUCGAAUAUUUUCGAUUAUGAAAUUAUAUUUUUCAUUUCGAAUUCUGAUUUUUUUUUUUUUGAUUUUUUUGUUGGAACGUAAUUGGAAUGCAUAUUAGAUUUUAAUUUCCGAUAAUAUUUUUGGAAAUACCAAUUUUUUUUUUUCUUGAAAGUUACACUUGCAACAUCAUUACUUUAUGUAUUUUAUAUUACACGUGACUAAAUAUUUUGGAAUUUCUAAAUUUCGCGGAUUCCAAUUCGAAAAUUUGUGGUAUUCAAACAAGUUUUAAUUAUUCCAAUUUUAAUUUCUUUAACGGAAUUAAAAUUAGUUUUUUACUUACGAGAAGCCAAGAAAAGGUUAUAUUUUCUUUCCGGAAACAUUAAUUUCAAUCCGAUUGAUCCGAUUUUCACCCCUGAAGUUACCCAACUCUGGCCCACUCGCAGAAAUUGACCCAAUUGGUCUGAGCCGGGCUAUAGUUCAUUAAAAAUGAAACUCCAAGGCCCGCCAAGGUCUAGAAGAGUUUGUAAUAUUAAAUGAAUCUCUGAAAAAAUAUUUAAUGAAUAUCUGGAAAAUAAUAUAAAAAACAUAAAUCAUAUUGCAAAAUAAAGUCAAACAUAUAUUACCGAAAUUCCUUUCAUCUUUAAAUAACCUGAUUUUAAUCAUUACCGUAAUAUCAUGUAAUAAUCUACAGUAAUUCCCUGACAAUUCUUCUAGAAGAUUUAGGUUGUCUGAUUUUCAUUCAAUAAAUGCUAGUACUCUUUCUUUAUUUAUUUAUUCAAAAUUUAUUUAUUUAUUUUUCUUUAUCUUCACCACCGCAUCAACAAUGGCGCACCAGCUUCAUUUCCUCUUAGUCCCAUUAAUGUCACAGAGCCAUAUAAUCCCACUCACAGACUUCGGCAACCUACUCGCCCGACAAGGCGCGUUUGUUUCAAUCGUCACCACCCCACUCAAUGACGUCACGCACAAAUCAUCAAUCCGCAAUCACAACAUCCAAACAAUCCCCAUCGAAUUCCCAUGCCGAGAAGCCGGCCUGCCGGAGGGAUGCGAGAAUCUGGACACAGUCAUCAACUCGCCGGAGCUCACCCGGAGAUUCUUCCGGGCAAGUCAAAUGCUGGAAGCCCCGCUGGAGAAACUCAUCGGAGAAUUAGAACCGAAACCCGACUGCAUAAUCUCCACCACUGCAGUUUCCUGGAUAAAAAAACCCGCCGAGAAAUUCAACAUACCCAGAUACCUUUUCGAAACCAUAUCGUGUUUCUCUCUCCUCUGCUCCCAUAAACUUUCUCUCUCUAGUUUUCAAGAAGACGCAGUUUCUGAUUCCGAGAAGUUUCUUGUGCCUGACAUACCUCAUAGAAUCGAAUUCACCAAAGCCCAGUUGCCUAAAACGACGUCGUCGGAAGAUUCCUCCGGCGGUAAUAAUUUUGAAGAGAUUAAAGACCAUGUUAAACAGGCCCGAGAUUCGGUGAAGGGUAUUCUGGUCAACAGUUUCCAUGAAUUGGAGCAUUGGUACGUUGAAGGGUACAAAAGGGAAAAUGGAAAAGUGUGGUGCAUUGGACCAGUUUCACUCUGCAACACCGACACGUCAUUUUCCGGCGGAGGAAAAAACAUCAUUAACAAACCCUCCUCCGUCGACGACUGUCUGACGUGGCUGGAUCAGAUGAAGCCGAACUCAGUCAUCUACGCAUGUUUCGGAAGCUUGUGUCGGAUAUCUGCAGACCAGAUAAAAGAGAUUGGUUUGGGAUUGGAAGCUUCGAAUUCGCCGUUCAUCUGGGUCAUCAGAAAAUAUGAUCAAGAUUCCUGUGCGGCGGAGGUGGAGGAAUGGCUGGCGGCGGAAGAUGGUGGGUUCGAAGAGAGGGUACGAGGAAGAGGGGUGGUGAUACGAGGGUGGGCCCCACAGGUGGCGAUACUGUCGCACCGGUCGGUCGGGGGAUUCGUGACGCACUGCGGGUGGAACUCGACGCUGGAAGGUGUUUGCGCCGGCGUGCAGAUGGUGACGUGGCCGAUGUUCGCCGAACAGUUCUACAAUGAGAAGUUCAUUGUUGAUGUUUUAGGGAUUGGUGUUAGAGUUGGGGUAGAUGGUUGCUUGGAUUAUUCCAAUAAUAAUAAUAAUAAUAAUAAUAAUAAUAAUAAUAAUAUGGUGGUGACGUGGGAUAGGGUCAAAAAUGCAAUUAAAAAAGUGAUGGGGACUGAAAGUGAAGAAGAAGGGAAUAUUAUUAUAACGAAGAAGAGGAGAGAGAAAGCUGAGGAGCUUGCAAAAAUGGCGAGAGAAGCGGUGGAAGAAGGAGGUUCGUCUUUCUUGAAUGUAUCAAUGUUCAUUGGAGAUGUCUUGCACCAACUUCAAUAAUGUUUUAAAUCAAAUACUAUAAUUAUUAAAUUAUAUUAUUAUUCGGUGUAUUUUGUUUUUAUUUAUUAUGGCUUGCUUAAUUCUGAAAAUUAAACCUUUGUACUGUUUUUUUUUUAAUUUGUAUCCUGGCAUGAAACUAAAAUGUGAUUAUAAGAAGAAUAGAAUGAGAGAAGGAGAGAAAUAAUAAUACGUAAUAGAAUAGAAACCCCCAUUGUGUUAUGGGUUGAUUACAUGGAAUAUAUAUAGAGAAAUAUUCCAAGGUAAUAGAGUUUGACUAGGUAACUAAAUCCUAACUAAUCUAGGUAACUCAAUCAUACUAGAAUCCUAAUAUUACAAGAGUUCUAUAUAUAAUAUUCUCUAACACGCCCCCGCAGUCGAAACGUGACGAACGUGAAGACUGGACAAUCACUUGCUAGCACGCUCCCGCAGUCGGAACGAAUAAACUUCGAACGUGAAGACUGGAAACUUCAAAUGUGAAGACUGGACAGAAACAGCGAAACACAACGCUAGAGAAUUCCUCAAUAGAAAUAUCUGCCCAAUUUAAAAAAAAAAUUAAUAAUAAUAACGGGUGAGAGAAAAAUAAGAAUAUCUUGUUUUUUUUUUUUUUUUUUUGUGUAUGAAUCGAGAGAGAGAGGGGUCGCCGACCAUGGAGAAGAAGAGAGGCAGCGCCUAGGUUUUAGGCCAUGGAGAAGAAGAAGAAGAAAAAGAUAGAGAAGAUACACCAACCACCGAGAGAGGGAGAAAAUUCGGUUUGGUGGUCGCCGGCCAUGGAGAAGAAGAGAAGCGGCGGCUAGGUUUUAGGCCAUGGAGAAGAAGAAGAAGAAGAAGAAGAAUAAGAAGAAGAAGAAAGAGAUAGAGAAGAUGCACCACCGGGGGAGGGAGAAAAUUGGGUGGUGUUCAUGGAAAAGAUAGAAAAAAAAAAAAAAAAAAAAAUAUUAGAGUACCACCACCGGGGAGGGAGAAAAUUGGGUGGUGUUCAUGGAAAAGAUAGAAAAAAAAAAAAAAAAGAAAAAAAAAUAUUAGAGUACCACCACCGGGGGAGGGAGAAAAUUGGGUGGUCACCGCCAUGGAGAAGAAAAGCGGCUAGGUUUUCACCGCCAUGGAGAAGAAAGGCGGCCAGGUUAAAAAACCUAAACCUGGUGCUCUGAUACCAUAUAAGAAGAAUAGAAUGAGAGAAGGAGAGAAAUAAUAAUACGUAAUAGAAUAGAAACCCCCAUAAUAAUACGUAAUAGAAUAGAAACCCCCAUUGUGUUAUGGGUUGAUUACAUGGAAUAUAUAUAGAGAAAUAUUCCAAGGUAAUAGAGUUUGACUAGGUAACUAAAUCCUAACUAAUCUAGGUAACUCAAUCAUACUAGAAUCCUAAUAUUACAAGAGUUCUAUAUAUAAUAUUCUCUAACAGUGAUAUCAUAUGAUUCGUUCUCAAUUGAUGUAGAAUAAUAAUUGUGAUAAUAUUAAAAGUCUAUUUAUUUACACUCAAGAUAGAAUUUGACAGGGAAUUGAAAUGAAACCUCAAGAUAUAUGUGGUAUUAUUUGAGUCCAUAUCGUUUGGUCUGCUUCUAGAAGGUCUAUUAUGGGUCAACGACAGAGCCACAGAGGGACCAGCUAUUUUAUCCUAUGUGACAAUGUCAGUGUUAUAUAUUUGGUCCAAUAUGAUUUUCUUUCUUCUAACAUUCAGCUGUAAAUAAUUCAAUUCAACCCAAAUUAUUCGAAAUUAGGUGUAACAAAAUACAAAACCAAUGUACAAUAAUACAUAAUACACUGUAUAAUUAUAAAAGUAGUACAUGUGGUAUAUGCUUAUAACUAUUGUAGCUCAAAUUGCUUAUAUUCCAAAUCAGUAAUCCUUAACAAAAUCUGAUUGAACAUCAAGAAAAUGCAGUGAAUUAUCAUUAUCAAGAAGCCAUUCUUCUCCAUCAAUGAACGAAACAUCAAGAUACGGAGCUGCUUCCGAUUGCCUCAACUGCUUCCCGUAUCCCACUCUGUUCGUCGAGUUAGCCCCCGGCCCAUAACACUCGUAUUCCCCAAACAUAACCGUUCUGCAAAUUAAAAGGCCUAAAUCAUUUACCAACUUUUCAAACACAAAAUAAAGAUUUACGUACCAAAUUAUUUAAAAAGGGAAAUUAAAUAUAUAUAUAUAUAUAUAUAUAAAGCACGGACUGAUCUCUAGAAGAAUCCCUCCAAUCAUUCCAUCCCUCGGCAGCAACAACUUCAGACAUGUAUGUUUUGGAGAAAAUUGUAGUCGAAUAAUGCCCCCAUGCUCUCCCCAGCCACACUUUCCCACUGCCACGUAUGCUGCAUUUCACAAACGAGAAUCCCGAUUUUUCGUUCGCCGAAUCUCUUCCCUGGGCUGUGAUACUGCCACUUACCCCACCACCAGCCAAACUUACGUCUUUUGCCGUCGAAUUUAUCGUGCAAUCCUUCAAAAUAAAUAUAUAUUUUUUUAUCAUGCUUAAAAAUUGAUAUUACAAACAUGGUAUAUAUGUAUGUAUGUAUGUAUGUAUGUAUACCUCAAAAAGUGAUCUGGCAUUUCCAAAAAUGAAAUCAAUGGAGCCCUGGAUAAAACAUUCUUUGUAAUAAUGCCUGCCUUGAUCAUCAUUUAAUGUAUCUUGCGCUCCGUAAAAUCCACAUCCGUAAAAAGCCGAUUUAUCGCCCGAAACCCUUAAUGCUAAUGCUUGUCCUCCAACUUCCCCUGGAUCUGGAGCUGGAGCUGUGUUCUUAUAAUUUUCAAUAUUUUUCGUUAAAUAAAUCGAAAGAAGAUAAGAUCCCUUAUAGGAAAAAAUAAAUCAAAUAUUAUCGAGAAAAACUAUAUAAUAUAAAUACCAUAAAGCUAAUGUUGUAAGCUAUAAAGUUGGGAGCAGAAACAGCAAAAGUAGAGCUGUAGCUCGUCCCUCCGGUCGAAUUCGCCGUGUCGUUCCAUUCUAUAGCAGUUUUGAGGUAACCUUGGCCUUGUACUAUUAAGUUUGUCUUGUUAGAACUUAUCUCUAUUUUUUCCCUGCCAUUAUAUAUAUAUAUAAUUUAGUAAACAAAUAAAAUAUUAGUAAAUAAUUUAUAUAUAUGCUGAUCAAUUUACCUAUAUGUGCCUGAACCAACGAUGAUAAGCGUCCAAGCACGGCUAAAAUCAGGUGCGGAAUCAACCGCUUUCUGAACGGUGCUGAAAUUCGCACAGCCCUUUGAAUCGACUGUAAAAACAGAGGUAACAUUGUACAAUGAUAUGAGACUAGACUUCCAUAUGUUUUCAUUACAUGAAACAUUUUGCCUUCUUGUGUGAUUAUGAUGAUGGUGAUUAUGAUGGUGGUGUCCUUUAUAGACGAUUCUUCGUAAAAUCGAGAAUAUUUCAUCUAAGCGAAAAAAAUCGACGUCGAGAAUCGGACGAAUGGUAAAGUAUGGAGUAGUGGAAGAGUGAGAAGAGUGUUGGGAAAGUAUGAGAGAGAGGAGAAGAAUGAGUAAGGUGGUGAGCCAAAAGAGGAUGGUGGUUUUGAUGUUCAUUGUUUUAGGUAAGAGAAAAAAGUGGGGUUGGUUGUUUAUGGUGUUUUUGUUUUUGGGUUUAGUUUAGGUGUGUGUGUGUAUAGGUAUUAAUUAUGUGUGGAAUAUGGUGUAGUUUUAUUGAUGGGUUUUGGGUUUGACGUAGAAUGUAAGGGAAAUUAAUUUAUGUAUGUGGAAAGAAAUGAUUACAUUUAGUGAAAUUAAUAUUAAUGUGAAAAAAAAGGUAUGGGCAGGCAGCAAAUGGAGAUUGAAUAAGCCACACGCUAAGCUAACUCAUAACACACACAAAUUGCCCACGCGCUCUUAUUCAAACUUCACCCAUUUGCUCGGAUCUGGUCGGGUCGGGUCGGGUCUUGACUUGGGCUCAAUCGAGCAGUUGAGUUGAAAGCCCAGUUACAUGCUCUGGCGGAAUAGCACAUUACCCCUUUUAGUUUGUGUAUCUUGCAAAUGAACCCCUAUCAUUUUAAUUUCUUUGAAUUUUUAACCAACUUUGAAGUUUGUGUUUAAUAAGCAAUCGAGUCAGGGUCGAACUUUAAAAAUUGUGCUUGAACAUUUUUUAUAGUGCACUACUUUUAACCGAUAAUCGAUUUAGAGUAGCCCGCGAUUUUUAUUGUAUGAUUGUGAAAUGCUUUAUUAUUUUUACUGCAAAUUACACCUAUAUUAACUAAGGUUAGGUGCAAUUACAAGUCAACCACAUCUAACUUGAAAAAUUAGGUAUGACUUUCACAUGUUUGAUAUAUUAGCUAACACUUAAUGCAUUUGAUAGUUGACAUUUUUGAAAAUUUAUUUGUAUUUCAUAGCGAAAUAUUGAAUUAAUAAAUUAUAUUGUCCUCCCAAAGUUACGUCUAAUUACAUAUAGACCACUCAUAUUUUAAAACACCACAAAGACCUCCUUAAUAUUUAAUUAUAACUAAUAAUUCAAUUCAAACUCAUAACUUAUAAUAUUUUCAGAAACAACAGCAAACACGAAUCAAUAGUUCAACAGUAAUAAAAAAAAAAAAAAGAUGAAAUUUACCUAGUGCACAUAAACAGUUGAUUUGAUUGCGGUCGUAUUAAUUGUUACAAAAACAUAGAUAAAAUAAGCUUACAAUGCAUAAAGAAAUUAAAUAUUAAACAGUUUAUUGAUUAGCCAAAGGCCCUCCACGUAGAUAAUAUUAAGAAAUUCAAGCAAAGCUGCAAAUACUACAUUAUUACAUUAUAAAUAUUGAAACUUCAAAGUACGGAAUUAAUUAAAACAGCACACACAACACAUUAUUAAUUAAUCAUUCAUAAUAAUAAUAUGAUCAUCAGCCUCUAAAAGAAAAGAAGCGAAAAAUGCCAAAGGAUAGAAGUUGCCCUAACAACAACAAAUUAAAAGCACCACCACCACCGUACUCAUCCAUAUUGCAGCUAUGCAGGCUGCUUAAUUACGACGGUGGGUGCAAUUACCGCUCCUGCCGCCAUGUUCGACCACCACCAUCGCCGUCGGUGCAUUCUCCUCCAUGGCGGCCGCCACCAAAAUCAGAGAGAGAAAGAGAGAAGAAGGAGGUGAUUAAAAAGGGGUUAUAAUAAGGUAAGUAAACAUGCAUAUGUAGGUGAUAGUGAGGGGGCAAUAAAAAGAUUGAAGUGACAUAAGUAGAGGAAGUUGUGGGGGAACUUUAUUGUUAAAAGGUGACCAUAAAGAUUAGGAAAAAUAUAGCAUCUUCAAAGGAUAUGCCAUUCGCAUAUCUCUCCCACCACUCCUCCACAUUACAGAUCCGAUCCUCAUAUAUAUAUUUUUCAAAAAAAAAUAAAUAAUUAUUUUUUGCCGUACGACAGAGAAAUUAUAUAGCGAUUAUGCUGCAUAUUAUCCUAAUUGGAAAGGUUUAAUUUUCUUCGACUUUUAUUUAUUUAUUUUUUGAGCUCUUGAGAAGCAUACUUUAUUUUCUCAAAAAAAAAAAAGGGAGAAGCAUAUAUAUCUUUAUUUCUAGCUUAAAUAGUAUUUUAUAUCUAAUUUUUAUAUCAUUAAUACAUUAUAUAUACAUACAUAUUUUUGUAGCAAAUGAAAAUACCAUUUAGAACACAUGAUUUUUUUUUCAUCAGGUUUCUGUAUUGUUGCAAAAUCUCAACUUCUAUUCUUUGGUGAUUGAUAUAUAUUACUAUAUGUCUUGUAUAUUAUUGUAUAUAUAGUACGUAGUACGUAAUGUUUCUUUUGCAUUGUCUUGGUACGUAGUACGUAGUACGUAGUACGUAAUGUUUCUUGACAUCACAGCCAAUCAAUCCUUUUCUUCUUUUAAUUACAUAUUUUUAUGCUUCUUUUAGUUCCUAGCUUGUUACUUAUCGGACAUAUAAAAGGUGUUGGAUUAAAUAAAAAUAUACCAAUCACAACUUACAAUAACUCAAAUUUUUGGUUUAUAUUUUUUGCAAUUCUAUUUAUUGUAUUUGAUGGAGGUCGACUUAAGCCUCGUCUAAAUUGGCUCUUCUAGAACAAUUUCCUCGACUUUUGAUUGCCGGAAAAUUGCUCAGUCCACCCGAAAUCUCGAGGCUGGAGCCCUGGAUCGAGGAACACUCCAACCUUCAAGGUAGUAAAUUAAUGAGGAAAUCGAAUAGAGACAAUCCGAUGAUGUAUCGAUCGUGUGUUUUAGAGGGUGUUUGGCUAAGCUUAUUUUAAACAGCUGAUAAGCUCUUACGUCUGAUAAGAUGUUUUAAGAGCUGAUAAGUUGUUACAUCUUAUUUUUAGGAUUAAUUUUUUGAGUGUUUGGAUAAUGGGCUUAUUUCCUAUUUUUACUCAUUAAAAGAUCUUAAAUAAAAAGGUGGGGUAGAGGUACUUAUUUAAAAAGAUCUUAUUUGCUCUCCAACAGCUUAUUUUAAAAAAAAAUAAGAUCUUUUUCUAAAAAAUUACCAAACACUUUGAAAGAGCUUAUAAGCUCUAAAACAUCUUAUAAGCUCCUUUUAACAUCUUAUAAGCUUAGCCAAACACCCUCUUAGAGCCCGUUUGGCUAAGCUUAUUUAAAACAUCUUAUAAGCUCCUACAUCUGAUAAGAUGUUUUAGGAGCUGAUAAGCUGUUAGAUCUUAUUUUAAAAAUUAUUUUUCAAGGUGUUUGGAUAUGUAGCUUAUAAGUUACUUUUUGUUUUUAUAAGUUGUUCAGGUGUUUGGAAAUAAAAGGUCUGUUUAUUGCUAUAAUGACAAAAAAGUACAUGACAUUGUUAAACUUAUUUGACUCAAAUACUUUUGUUCCUAAAAUAUUAUUAUAAUAUUUACAAAUUAUUUUUCAAAUAAUAAUAAUAAUACAAAAUUAUAUAAUAAUAUAAAAUAAAACUUGUAAAAGAAAUAUAAUUUUUUUUAGAUGAAAGAAAUAUAAUUUAUUAUGGAGAUAAUAAGAAUAUUCGUGUAUUUUUAUAUAUAUAUAAAAUAUAAAUAGAGAAUAAUUUUUUUUUACAAUUAUUAUGAUAAUUACGAUAAUUAUAUUUAACUAAUUAUUAAUUUUGAUUACAAGAAUACGUUGUUUUGAUAAAAUAUAAAUAUUAUUAGUAUUCAUGUAAUAUAAUAAAGUAUUUGAGGGUAAUUUUGUAUUUUAAGUGUUUUAGUAAAGAAGCAAAUAAGAUCUUAAAGAAAAAAAUGUGGGGUAGAGGUACUUUUUUAAAAACAUCUUAUAAGCUCCCUAACAGCUUAUUUUUUGAAAAAAUAAGAUCUUUUGCAAUUUUUUUACCAAACACCUUUUAACAACUUAUAAGCUCCUAAACAUCUUAUAAGAUGUUUUUAGGAGCUUAUAAGCUUAGCCAAACAGGCUCUUAGUCAUACAUAUUGUUGAGGUUUCGGCUUAAUUUUGAGCCCAUGAAGUAUGAUUAAGUUAGGUGUUGCCCCAUCAAUAAAAUCCAAACUUAAAUAUUUAUACGAGCCCAGUAGAAAUAAUUUAUCGAUUAUUUCUUGCUAUAAGGAGUUUGCUAAUAGGUGUGUACAAAAUACCAAUUUUGAUGUGAACCGGCCCAAAGAUUUGCCAGCCCAGCCUACCUAUAUAUGAACUGAUCUUUCUUAAGAAAUUGAAUAAAAGCUUCUUUUUUUUUUUAAUAAUAAAAAUUGGAUCAUUCCAAAAAAAAAUAAUAAUAAUAAGCAUCAACUAAGACUCAAUUAUUGAAUAAAUUAGCAAAAGAAAACCUUGCUGUCAAAGCAGGAAUAAAAUCUUGAAAGCUUCUCUGUGCACAGCCUGUGAACUCCUAAACUGUAGUAGAAAUUUACCUACUUGUUCGGCGGCUCCGACCAAUAUAUAUAAGAUUCACAAACAUAUAUCCUUCCUUUUCAACCUACGAAUAUAUUCAUCGAUCAUUGUAUUAUUUAUUAAUAAAACCUAAAGAAAUAAAUAAAUAAUAACACUAAUAUAUUAAGGGUAAAUUCCACUUUACCCCAUUGUACUUUGGUUGGAUAUCACUUAAUUACCCCAUGUACUCUCAAUUGCAUUGAUUUGUCCCCUUGUACUUUGGUUUGAUAUCACUUUACUACUUGUAUUCUCAAUUCAUCGAUUUGUUCCCUUGUACUUUGGCUCGAUAUCAUUUUACCCCAUUCUACUCUCAAUUGCAUCGAUUUGGCCCCAUGUACUUGAAAAUUAUCUCAAUGUGGCCAUCACCGUUAGUUUUCAGACCUUUGACCUUAACACCGUUUGAUCUAAGUUUGAAAAUUACAAAAAAACCACCCCUCCCAGUUUAAAUAAUUAUUAAUAAAUAAAAAAUAAAAAAUUGUGGCUAGUGUCGUGGACUAUGUUUUCUCGCUGUCUUGAAUUUUUUUAUUAUUUUAUUUUUUGUUGUUUUUUAUUUUUUAUUUUUUUUUAAUUUUUUAAUAAUUAUUUAAACUGGAGGGGUCACAUUUUAGUAAUUUUCAUAAUUAAAUCAAACGGUGUUAAGUUCAAAGGUCUAAAAACUAACGGCGAUGGCCACAUUGAGACAAUUUUUCAAGUAAGGGGGACAAAUCGAUGCAAUUGAGAGUAGAAGGGGUUAAAGUGAUAUCGAGCCAAAGUACAAGGGGGCAAAUCGAUGAAUUGAGAGUAGAAGGGGUUAAAGUGAUAUCGAACCAAAGUACAAGGGGGCAAAUCGAUGCAAUUGAGAGUACAAAGGGGUAAAGUGAUAUCUAGCUAAAGUACAAGGGGGCAAAUCGAUGAAUUGAGAGUAGGAGGGGUUAAAGUGAUAUCGAACCAAAGUACAAGGGGGCAAAUCGAUGCAAUUGAGAGUAUAAAGAGGUAAAGUGAUAUCUAACCAAAGUAAAGGGGUAAAGUGGAAUUUACCCAUAUAUUAAAGGUGUUGAUGUUUGGCUAAACGGUGCAUGUGUGGUGGUGGACCAAAUCAAAUUAAAAAACGAACUCACAAAGACUGCCUUUUAAUUUGUUAAUUGCAUUUCCACCUUGCAACUAACUACUAACAAUAAUUUAUUCACCAAUUAUUGUUAUUCCCCAACAAGAAGUAGUAUUAUUUUUUUAAUUAUUUCCAUUGUAACCCCCCGUUUGCCUUUUUGGAAUAUUUCAUAUAUACAAAAUAAAAGUAAAGAAAAGAAAAUAAAAGAAGGUGAUAAUUAAUUAAUUAAUAAUAAAUUAGGAGCUAAAAGGAGCUCUUUGAGGGAUGCCUUUUCUUCUUCUAGCAGUAGGAGGUGGUGUGUUUGGGUAUAUGUCUUCACCCAUUUCUUGUCUUGAUAUCACUUCUUCUUCUUCAUCACCUCUUCUUUCUCUUUCUAUCACUACCUCUUUUCUUGCAUUUGCUUCCCCAUUAUUCCUCUUUUUUCCUACUACCUACAUUAUUUUAUUAUUCGGAAAAUGAUAAAUAUAUUUAUUAAUAUAUAUAUCAAGAAAUUUGGAAGGAAAAAAAAAAGAAAAGAAAUAUAUGUAUAUAUAUACCUUGCAUCCCAAAGAACAGAAGCGAAAGGUGUCCAAAAGGGAGCGGCCACAGAUUUGACAGAGGUGAGAAACAGAAGGUGCUUUCCCACCUAACUUAGGGUGAGGCCUCUCGUUCAGGAACAAAACCCUAGCGCUGUUUAUUACGUAUGUCUGCACCCCACUUAUAUCUAGUACCUUCUGUAUCUCCGAUACCCUCACCACAUCAUGAUACGAUGAUCGCCUUAUCUGCAUUCAUUCAUUCAUUCAUUCAUUCAUCCAACAAUUACAAUUUUAUUAAUAAAUUUAUAUAUAUGCACUAAUAAAAUUAUUUGAUACUAAUAAUUAAUUUAUUGGGUGGAAAACAAAAGCAAGGCUAGGUUGUAACGCCUGUUCCGAGGGGUCACAUUAAAACUAAUAUUCAAAGAGUUAGGCAUUAUUUAUUGAAUGAUGGUUACUGCUACCAAUUACUGCAUUGUUUUGAAUUGGACUUACGAUUUAUAUUCUGGCAAAAUCAUAAACAAUAAUAAUAUAAAAAAAAAAAGGAAAUAUAAUUAAAGAAAGGCCGGCCGGCGGCCAAUAUAUAUAAUUAAAUUAAUGAGAUUAACCUGAAUGACUUGAUGGUCUUUGUGCUUAGAUGAUCGGCAGUAGAAGCAAAAGGCGUCGCAAUUGCAAUCCAAGCAGAACAUAUUGCAUUCGCUCCGGGCCGCGGCGGCGUGGUUGCGGCACAGGUUGAAGAAGGUGGUGUUUAGCAGUCUUUCUAGCCACGGCACCGCCGGCAUUCUGUACUCCUCCUACAUAAAUUAACUUGCAUAAUCAUUAUCACAGCAUACAAUAAUCUUAGAGAGAGAAACAAAAAAAAAAACAAUGGCAUUAGAAUACACUAGUGAUUAAGAUUAUAUGUAUAUGUAUAUAUGCAUUACCAUUAUCGAAUUGGGUUUUCUCCAAUGGUGUCGUGAUUGAAUUGGCAAAGAAAGGAGAGAGAAAGAGGAGAGAGAGAGAGAGAGAGAGAGAGAGAGAGAGAGAGAGAGAGAGAGACCUAACCUAAACAAGCAGCAACUUUGAAUGCCACAAGAAAUUCACCGUACGCCAAAUUAUAUACGUAUAUAUUUUUUAUUUUUAAUAUAUAUAUAAUAUCUUUUGUUAAACACAUCAGCGUACACUAAUUAUACAUACGUAUUUUAAUUAAUUAAUAUAUACAAAACAAGCUGCGUUAUACAGAGAAAGUAACCCAAAAAAUAAAAAAUAAAAAAUAAAAACUUUCCCCCCACAAAAUAAUUACCUAUUUAUGCACAAAUUUAUUGGCAAUUAAUAAAUGUGACAGAAAUUGUUACAACUUCACCUAGGUUGGGUUGGGGCCAAAGCCUAAUUUUUUGGAAUUUCUUUUAACCUACGGACGGACAGGAUCGAAAGGGGUGGCUGAAGAGUGUUGUGAGCCGUUGGAUCUAAUUAAGUAGGGAGAGAGGUAUGGCGCGUACGCUACAAUAUUUUGGAUCUUCUCUGCGUCUGUACGUACGUAGGCAAAGAGGGUCGGCCACUAUAAUAAGCUUGUAAUGUGAUCCAUACGCCGUCGUUUUCGAAGCCAUUUGUGCUUUUCUUACGUGGGACUCCCUAGUGGUUAUUCGUCCUGGGCCCCACAGCAUGGGCUUUUUUGUUGUUGAUGACGUCAUAAAUACUAUAUAUCUUUUUAAUUAUUUAAAUUACCCUUCAGUAUUUCUUAUUCAAUUUCAUUAGUGGGUCCCAUGUAUAAUGCAAUGUGGGCGUAGGCAAGAUGUCAUGUCCUAACACUCUUAAGCAAGAUUCUUGAUUAUAAUGUGAUGGGGUAUUCAAAUUUUUCAUCUUUAGAACAUAAUUUAUGCAUGAAAUUUCAAAGAAAGAUAGUAAUUGUUACAUAUAUUAAUAAUGAAUAUUACAAUGAUAUAUAUAUAUAUAUACACACAAAAAAUAAGUAUAAUGUUAAUAUAAUUAAGUAUAUAUAAUAAUUCGAAAUAAAAUAGUUAGGUGGUUCCAACUAGAAUUCGCUUCGGGAAGUCGCAUCAUGCCCCGGAAUUGCAUUAACAUUUUCACAAGGUUAAUGUAACAGCAACAACCCAAAAAUGGGUUCUUACCCACAAAUUUAGUCACGAGAUUGUGUCUAUACAUUAGACGAGGACAAGACUAAUAACACAACGAAAACCUGAAUUUGGGGGAAAUGAUUUUAUCUUUCCUUAAUUCAAUGAAAAUCAAAUUUAUUAUUGUUUUUUUAAUUUUUUUUAUGGAAGUGAAAUUGAAACCACCAAACAAUGACUUCAAAUUGUAGUGAAAAGCCAACACUUAUUUGGGACCAUAAUCUAUGGAAGAAGAAAAGGAUACGAGUUUCGAGAUAUUCAUACAUAGUUUACUAUUUCUUCCGUUUCAAAAUAUCCGUCACUUUUUUUUAAGAAAAUGUACCAUAUCUUAUGUUAUAUUAUUGAAUCAAAUUUGACCGAACUGAAAUACUAUAAUACUAAUAUAUAACUUCUUUUUAUUUAUUAAUUUAUUUAAUUGAACAAUGACUAGUGAAUUGAUGUUACGAAGAAGCAGAAAGACAGCUAAGUUAUCAGCUGCAUGAAAUAAUCCGCUAUUUUGUUGAUUGUUGUCACACUGCUACAUGAAAUUAUCCAUUAAUUUGUCCACUUACGACAUUGCCUUGUGGGAGAAAUUAAUAAUUAAUAAAGUUGACAUUGUGAAUGAUAAAUACAAGGUGUAUAUUCUGCUCAAAAUUAAUAAAAUAUAAGGUUUGUAUUAAUUAUUUUAUUAUUGUAUAUAUUUAAUAAAUAUUAAUGCUAAUAGAAUAAAAGGGCGGGAACAAAUCGGUUGAGUAAUUUGGCCGGACAGCAAAGGGGCAUUAAAAGCACUGUUUAAUGACAACUAGUACAUGUUGACAUAAGUCAUUAAUUUAAUUUUGUGAUAUAAAAGUGUUUAAUUUGGCACCUCAUGUUUCUAUAAUUUAACAAUUUUGGUCAUUUAUGUCAAUUUAUCGAUAAUUCAUCAGUUAAGGCAGUGAUCGUCACAUGCGUGAUUCCGUUAUUACUAACGGAAAAUUGACGAAAAUGACUAAACUUGUUUCAUUUUUGAAACAAAUGGACCAAAUGUGUUUUUUUUAUAAACAUAGGGAAUUAAAUAUGAAAUCAGUGCAAAUUUGAGGGAUGAAAAAUGUAUAUUUUUCCGUUUAUAGUAUGAGUGACCAAACUUGUACUCACAAAUCACAAUGCAAUAAGUCACAAUGCUGUUUUCUGUUCAUCUCAAGUCCGGGGCUCAGUGCACUAUCCAAUUUUUUGUUAUAUUCGACCGCGAUUACCAAUUAUUUCAACGAGCUGUCUUUCGUUUAAAAAAAUUCUACCGGCGAUCAAAAUAACGAAUACUCCCUAAAGGUUCAAUAGGUGUAAGAAAAGCACAUAAACAAACAAAUAUAGAAGCCUCUCUCAUUUAUCCGUCUCCUGCAAUUCCUCCUUGAGUCGAUCCACUUCUCUCUCCCACUUGAACCCAAGCAUCUGCCUCCCAAACGGAACAAUAAGGUUGUAACGAAAGACCUACAAACAUUCAUUUCGUCACAAAAAAAUGAACAUGCAACAAAUAUACCAGCCCUGUUUUAAUUAAAUGUUUUUUUUCCAUGUGCGUCGAUUAUAAACACGAUUUAUACCUUAUUAUUCAGAUCGCGCAGCUGAAGUUUCAAUGCCUCGGAUGACUUGAGCCAUUUGGAGUCAUGACUAUGAUCUCCUUUGUUAUUAUAAUGCACCCAAGCUUUCUUGAGGGCCAAUCGCCAACUAGCAACGCUAUUUCGUAUCUCUUUGUUGAGCUCAAUCCAUUCGGGCGCGCAUCCAUUUUUGUUGAGAAUUCUAUACAAGGUGUCUUCAGCGGGGUCUACGUGAGGGUUACUUGUGAGGUCUAGCGGCUUUCCUUUUCCCGGUAAGUUUUCGAAUUGACCUUCUUCCAUUGCAUGCCAUACUCUUUGCUCCACAACGUUUAUAAUGUCGGUUUCCGAUCUGGAAGUUAAUACCGAAUGUCACUUCUUUUUUGUCGAUUUUUCUUUCUUCCAAUUUAACAAUCCCAAUGGAGAAUAAACAAUUUAGUAAUUGAGAUACAAGCUUAUUUUUUGCAAGCUGCACCAAUUAUUGAAGCCAAGACAUAUACCCUAUAUAAACAGUAUGCUGACAAACUAGGGCACAAAUCAUCACAGAAACUAGGUAAAUAUUUCCCCUUUGCUAUAAAUAAUAUGAACAAUGAGCAAAAUCAAUCAAAUGUACACCAAUUGGGCACUGUUUCACACAAAAUACUCUGUUUGGUCUAUUCUUCAAAAUUAAGCUCUCCAAUUUUUAAAAAUUGAAUGAAGAAAUUCGUGAUAUGGAUCGCAAUAUUUGUCAGGUCAAUAAUAGCUAUGCUAUUGCCCUACUGAUUGUUGGCCUCUGCCCGAUCCCGAAUGCGGGCGGGAUUCGAUCGUGGUCGAUAAUACGGUCGAAAAGACCAGCGAGCGAGAUGGUUGUUAAUAGUACUCCCCCUAUCAUUGCCUUAUGAGUUAGAACAUCCUACAAUCGUACCGAUGUCUACUAAAACCUACGGGCGGGUGCUCCGCAACAGCGGCAGUAGUGAACAUUGCUACUAAAGAAGGGAGAGGGGAGCCUCUACCGCGGCAUAUAUCGAAAAUCGGAAUUUAUGCUGAAGGGGGGAAAAUGUUAACCUAACGUUGUUGCGUUGUCCACGUAGCUCCGGUGGGAGUUUACGGUCGUUGACGGUGUCGAUAACUGAGGAGAGGCGAUCGGAGCUCACUUUCUGAUUAGGAUUGGGAGAGGAAGAUGAAGAGUAUGCGCAUCUGCCGUGGGCGACGAUCGCGAGUUUUUCGGUGACCGCCGAUUUCUGAAGAAACGGCGCCGUAGAAGAGAGCGUUCUCCUUGCCGCCAAUCGGAGAGCCAUGGCUCACGGUCCAAAGUUCUUGGAAAUUGGGCCUCUGAUAUCAUAAAAUUGGGCCCAAUUGAUUGGUAUUAUGCAUUACUAUUGAGCCGACUUAUAGAGCCAGUUACGUGGCCGAUUUACGGACACUAGUGUUAAAUUUGUAACGGACCAAAAUAAAUCCAAUUUGAAAUUUGUACUCUUUUUUUCUUUUUUCUUUUUUUUUAGUGGAGGAACAUGCUAUUAGCGUAUAUUAUUAUUAUUAUUAUUAUUAUUAUUAUUAUUAUUUAUUAUAGUUACCUUAUACAUUAGGUUACCUUGUAUAUUGGAUUACCUUGUGUAGUAGGUUAGGGUUUCCUACAUGUAACUAUAUAUAUUCUCAAUAUACGUAAGAGAUAUCAUUCUCUCUUCUCUCCAAAUAUUCUCCUUCUAUCAUGGUAUCAAGCCAAAAACCCUAGCCGCCGUUUCUCUCCUUCUUCAAAUUUUUUUUUCUCGUUCUGCCUUCUUCAAUUUUUUUUUUCUUCACGUUCUGCCUUCUUCUCUUCAACCAUGGCCACCGAAACACCAACACCGCCCAUGAUUUCUAACCCUUUUCACCUUGCUCAUGCUAUAUCUAACAUCAAAGCCCUUAUUCCUGUAACCCUGGAUAUUAAAAAUCCGAACUAUCAAAAGUGGAGCCACUUCUUCACCAUCACCGCAGGUCGCUUCUGCCUCACCGAUCUGCUUCUCGGAAACAAAAAGCCCGACAACAUCUCCGCCGAUGAAUGGCAACGUGCGGAUUACCUCCUCCAAUCUUGGAUCUAUGGCACCAUAACCGAGGACCUCUCAAGCAUGGUUCUCUCCAAAACCGCAAUGGCCCAUGAUCUGUGGAAGGCCCUCGCCUCUCUCUUUACAGACAACGAAGACUAUCGGGCCAUCCAACUCGAAGAACAGUUCAAGUCCCUCAAGAAAGGAUCUCUUUCGAUCCAUGAUUAUUGUCAACUUCUCAAAACCACUGCCGACAACUUGGCAGACGUCGGCAACCCCGUGUCAGACAAGCAACUCGUCCUCCAAACCCUCCACGGCUUACCAAAACAUUACGGGACCAUUGUCAAUCUAAUCUCCUUCCAAACUCCGCUGCCAUCUUUUCUCCAAACACGUUCACUACUCCAGAUGGAAGAACAUCGCAUUGCUGAACCGGAACAGACCCCUACUGUUCUCUACGCAUCUCGCCCCAACAGUUCCAACAGUUGGCCGAACAGUUCCAACAGUUGGCCCAACACUUCCAGCAAUUAUCGAGGUGGUGGUUCUUGGCGCAAUCAGCGAGGUGUCGGUCGCACAAAUCGUCGUGGCGGUCGUGGUCAGUCACGACAUCCGAUGCAACACUACGGUUACAAUCAAUUUCACUACCAAUCGCAACCUUGGCGGGCCCCUUAUACGCCUCAGACAUCUUCAUCGAUUCUUGGACCCCCCCCAAGCUCUCCUGGUCCGUAUCAUGCUCCUACAGCUCAUGCUUAUUUCGUUGGACAGCAAGAUCCCCAACAGCACGUGAACUGUUCCAACAGUUCGUCGAACAGUGGUCCCCUACAGCCAACAGAUCUUGCCACUCAUCUCAACACGUUGACUCUUCAGUCAUCGAGCGAACCUCAGUGGUUUAUGGACACGGGCGCCUCAUCUCACAUGGCACCUCACUCAGGUAAUUUCCAUUUUAUUUUUAAUCCUAGUAAUAAUUUUCCCAAGCAUGUCAUCGUUGGUAAUGGCUCCACUGUUCCUAUCCAUAAAAUUGGCCACACCAUCCUACCCUCUACCCCAUUUCGUCUAACCAAUGUCUAUGUUACUCCUCACAUCAUUAAGAACCUUGUGUCUGUCCGAAAAUUCACUAGAGAUAACUCUUGUUCAGUUGAAUUUGACCCUUAUGGCUUUUCUGUGAAGGACCUCCGGACCAGAACACUCAUCC
rnacentral:lncRNA from 1 species